UCAUGCAACAAGCUUGACAUAUUGUUCUGCUGCAUCUUUGGUACAGAACCUUGCAUAUUCAUUGAUUGCAACUGGGGAUUCAGUUGAUUUUCAUGGGACUGCAAUUGAGGAGCUUGAGAUUGGGGUUGCUGCAUAGGUUGAAUAUGAAGUUGGGGAAGUUGUCCUUUCUGUAGAUUAAGAGUAGGCUUCCUGUAUCUGCUUGGGUUUAGAAAACCUACAAUCUGCUUCUCAUAGAAACCCAAUUUCUCCUUGAAAGUAGGUGUGAUGUUGUUUUUAGAGACCUGUAAGAAUGUUAUCAAGCGCUCCAACAUGACCUUGAAUACCUUCAGCUUUUCAAGCUGUUCUGACUUCGGUUGUUGCGGAAGAGGGUCAUGCUGGAAAGCAAAGUUAACAUACACGAGAAUUAAAAAUUGCAUUGACCCUUUGUAGCAAAACUAGUAAAACAUAAGUGAAAAAAAUGUUUCUAUUCCAAUUCUUCUGUGUCAAUGCAUGGUUGUGGGGUGGUUGGGGGUGGGGGGGGGUAAUUAGUGCAGAUGAUACAGUGACAAGCAAUGCUGAUGGGGAAAACAAAUUAAUACAAAAGCUCAACUGUGGGGGUUUAUGAAUCAUGUGUGAGCAAAUAAAUCAGAAAAAAUUACAAAGACAAUUUACCUGCUGUAACUUGGUAGCAAUUCUCUGGUACAUUUCAUUUAUUUCAGGCAAAUACGUUUCCUUCAUAACUUUGAUCUAGGAAGUACAUAUAACCAGCAAAACAUUAUCAAUCAUAUGCUUGAUUUCUUCAGGUGCCAGAGUCAGAAAGCAACAUAAGCAAACUUGAGAGAAUUGAUAGAUAAAUAAAUAAAAUGGCAGAGGACAGCAUAUAUUGUUUGAGAUAAAAAUAGCAGAGUGGAAUCAAUGCUGAAAACUCAUAGAGAAUAUAGUUAUUGAUUGCAUGCAAAGAUGCAAAGGAUUGUGUAGUUACCCCUUCAGACAAGAUUCAGGGGUUGGUCAAGUUCAGUUACUUUGUCUCACGGCAACCUACUCACCAUUGUUUUCUAUUGUUCUCACUCAAGUCAAUGGAUGUCACGACUUUGGUAAACACUUCUUAGCUUUAUAACUUUAGAUUUAUAACCCUUAUAUCCUAAUUACAACCACUCCUAUUCCCGUUUUAGUACCCUCCCAGGCACAAAAAAAUUGACCUCAUCAAAUAUGCAGUUAUGAGUUGCAACUACAGCCAUUAAACGAUUCAGAAUUUCAACCUCGUUUUCUAUAAAAUUCAACAAUACUGGACAUGGUCAUGAUUCAAUGGAUUAGGUCCACUUAUUUUCCUAUCUUCCAUUGUGACAUGUUUCAGAACAAAUUUGAUUGUAAUCUUGAAAAUAACUGUUCACUUAACCAAAUAUAACAAUGACUAUUCAGAAACAGUUCACUCUUGUUUUCAAGUCUGUCUAUUAUAGUACGAAGUAUUGUCAAUUGGACUUAUUGGAAAUAAUAAAAUAAUAAUUCACCACACAAUAAAUGUAUGGAAAUACAGGGAAAAAAUUGAAAGGGAGAGAUUUGCAAUAGAAAAAAUUGUCGUGUCAGUACCAAGAAAAUAACCCUCUUGACCUAGAAAUCUGAAUAUUUACCUUUAAUCAUCUUAUCAGUAAUUUAUCGUUUCUUAGUUGCUGCAAUCAUGGAACUUACAAUGCUUCCUAACUAAUCACAACCAUAGCUGAAUAAAACUCCCUUGUACCACAUUGACAUCUUGCAAGACAAUGACAUACAUGAACAGUAAGCUAAAGAAAUUACCUUUUGAUAGAUCUCCUCUUGCCAAUCAGCACCAUUUGCAUGUCCAGUCUCUGCUGUAGAAUCUAGGGAUGCUACAAAAAUUUUGAUACAGCCAACAAAAGAUUAGAAUGCAUGUAUGUUUUGAAUGUUUUCUGCACACAAGGGUAUUUCUGUAAUUUUCACACUUGCUGAAAAUUAUGGAAUAUUGUAGGUCUUGGUUUUAUUUCUAUUUAGUAUUUUAUUGUUCCUAAAGAAUAAGGAGCUUUAAUAGGUUUUCCCUAUCCUAGAUAGAACCAUUAGUGUUUUCUUACAUAGGAAUACAAGUCCUUUUUGGACUUGGAGUACUAGGGACACUAUCUCAACGUUAUGUAAUCAUUCAAACAGACAGAGAGACCCCCCUCCAACAAGAGCAUUACUGACUUGAACCAUUAUUGUAUUUUCAAGAAAUUUAAAUAAAUAUGUUAUAAUCUAACAUGAAAGCACAAAGCUGCAAAAUUAAAGUUGGAGCAAGGUUAGAAAGCUGCAAGGAUGAGAAAAACUUACUUGAGGACGUUUCUGGAAGGGCUCUUUGAGGUUGAUAUAACUGCCUUUGCUGAUCAAUCACAUAUGACUGUUGAAGCAAGGAGCCUGAUGCUUGAAGCCUUAGCUGCAGAUCAUGUUGUAAUGGAUUUGAUUGUUGUUGCUGAGCUCCAAGCAACUGCUGUUGCUGUAAACCAGUGACAUUACUUUGAGAGCCCAACUGUUGCUGAUGCAUGCUUGAGAGGUUAUUCUGUUGAGCCAUUAACUGCUGCUGCUGCUGCAGAUUUUGAAGGUUAUUCUGCUGCCCUAGCAAUCUCUGCUGCUGCUGCUGCAAGUCCCCAACAAUGUUUUGCUGUCCAAUUAACUGAUUUUGCGACAUGUUAGUCGUAAUUGAUUGUUGCCCCAUUAGCUGCUGUUGUGGAGGCAAUAGUGGCUGCUGCAUCAUUGGUGUUUGCUGCUGAUGAAUACCAGCAGACUGUUGAGGUUGUUGCUGCUGCUGCCUAAGGACUGAUUGUGGAUGUUGCUGGUGCAUUGGUUGUGUUGACUGUUGAACAGAAGAUGGUUGGUUCUGUUGAAGGCCAGAGACAGUUUGCAUCAUUGAAGGCUGCAUAACAGUUGAUGUUUGCAAACCAGAUUGCUGAGAAGAUUGCAACUGAUUUGGCUGUAACAAGUUUUGCUGCUGCUGCUGGUGGAUGUGAGAUUGCACAAGUGAGUGUGGAUGAUUUCCCUGUUGAAGAUUCUGCUUUAAAAGCUGUUGUUGUAUCAGCUGCUGAUAAAGAUACUGCUGAGGAUUUUGGGACUGCUGCUGUUGCUGUGGAGGAACAACCUGUUGCCUGCCUGGCAUUUGUCUCUGAGAAUUGACAAACAUAUUGGAGGGAAUCCCUUGUCCCAUUGAAUUCCCGAGAUACUCUGCAUGUUAGCAUUCUGUCCAACAGUGUUUGAGAUAGUCUGGGUUAAACCGGAGACAGAAGGCAUUGCUGAUUGUAAACCAGCAGAACUUUGAACUCCAUUAGAUGACAUAAUAUUCUGCAUGUUCUGUGAUAACUGCUGACGUGCUUGAGACUGAUUAGUGGGCAAUGAGAUAGGGAGCGACUGCCCUUGGUUGUGAACUUGAGGCGGCAUACUAUGAGAUGCUGUUCAAAAUAAAAGGCAAAAAGGAAAACCAUGUCAAAGGAAAAAAAGGCAUUGAGCAAGAAAAACAAAUGAAACAAUGACAGUUCACACGUAAAGUUAUGAGGUAAAUAAUUAAGAUGGUUUUACCUCAAAGCAUAAAAGUACAAAAAUAAUCUGUAAUUUUUUUGAACAUUCAUCAAUUACUCAACUUUUUUAUUAAAGCAUGGUAUAUACAUAGCAAUAUGCAGCAAUAAAAUGUAAAAGAGUUUGAUAACAAUGCGAAUUAUAAAACAAAAGGUAAGGAUGUUUAGAAAUUCAAUGCUUGGCUGCAUUAUUACCUCCUGGAUCCAGGGGUUUGUUACCAUUGCCAGUGGGUAUGGUAUUUUGAGACUUGGUCUCCAUUGUAAGCAUCUUCAGAGAUAUUUUACGUAGAUAAUCAGACUGAAAUCAGAUAUCAAUAACAAAAGAUUAGAUCUCUGCACAAUCCAUGUUACAAGAGAAGGGGGGAAAGGGAUUUAUGCUCUUUCUAAUAUGUUAGGCUAUUUUUAUUUGCAUCUUCUGUGAGGAUAUACUUCUGUGUCCUCUCUUUUUAUUUAAUUAUUUAUGUAUUGAUUCGUUAUUUGCAUUUUGCACACUUCCCUUGUACUUGAAAAGGACCUUGGUCACUCUAAAUAAAACACUUGCCAAGAGAAUUAACGAAAAGAUGAGAACUUCUACAAAAUGACCAGUGAGGAAGUGUGGACACACUACACACACAUGUGUACAUGCAUAAAUCCACAAAUUAUGCAUGUGUAUAUUCAUGUCUAGAGAAUAUCCAAAUUAUUGAACCUAGCAUUAGCCGAAUACCUGAUUGGUAGCAGCAGUAUAAAUCUUUUCCUCAAACCGUACGGCAAUUUUCUUGAGUUCUUGUAAUCCCUCUUGACCAGAAAACGGAAGAUGCCUCUUUAACAUCUCCAUUCUACACAUGUAAAACAUUACAUUUAGUUUUUAAUGACAAGGCAGAUAUAGAGAAGUUAGCUUCUUCGAUCAACACCUAUAUUUUAUGCGAGGAGUAGCUUCUUCUUCUUCUUCUUCACAAAGGAUUACUCCAAAAAUCUUGGCCGAAUAGCUUGAUUCUUUUCCGAGCUUGAAUUACCAAUUCCAGAUCUUCAGCUCCCUUCAUGUCCACCACAGAGAAGGUGACUUCAUCACCUUUUUUGAGAUCCCUUUUUUUUGGCGAACUCAAUCCAACCUCAUGAAGACAGGACUGGUUUAAGGUGAUCAACUCAGUUUUUUGUCUUGUACAACAUCGGAACCUCCACCUCUUGUCAUGGAUGUCAAUACGUUCAAGCCAAAACUAGAAUACCAAGAAAGUUAAUUAAUUCAUUAACUUUUCAGAAUGUUCUCCCCUGCACUUGGCAGAAAAGGCCUCUUUCUUAUACAUGGAAGGUUAUUUUGACUAGUUAAAAAAUAUUAUUAUUUUAAUAAAAAUAAUUGGUUUAUAUCGAGAUAUAAUAUGAUGACCUUAAGGAUUUAUCCAAUUACCCUGUAAUUUUUUUUUUCUAGAUAAAUUAAUGGGUUUACAGAUAUAAUUUCAAACUCAAACAAAUCGAGAAAAAGACGUAGUAUACUUCCUUAGGUAUGAGGACAAAGCUAUUAUAAUAUUUAAAUAUUAUUUAGUCAUUGCAUUGCAUUGAUAAUGUAAAUAUUUUUUUCUUUCUUUUCUAGAAACAGACAACCUAAAGAUCAAUAAAUCUGAGAAACGAACGACGAACCAGCAAACUGACGUUACAACUAUCGACUAGUGGCUCAACGUCGCAUCACUUUAGCUUUACCUUUAGAUCAUUUUUCUCUUAUAUGUUAUUUAAUUUAAUUGUAUAUAUUUAUAUACUUAUUCACUAUGAGCUUGAUUGAUUAGAUAAAAAAGAAAUUAGCAAAAUGUCCUAAAACAAUCUUUUAUCCCGAGGAUCUAUCUAUUUAUUUUAUUAUAUUGUGUUAUUAUGCGAGUUGAAUUAAAAACAAAUUAAGUAUAAAAGAAAUAUUAAGAUGUUUAGCAUUUAUUAAAUCCGAUUCAACAAAUUAAUAUUAAAAUUUUCUAAUCUAAUUUUUUUUCUUACUCAAGUUUUAAAUUUAACUAUAUAAAAGUUGUUUUAAUAUGUUCUAGUCAACUUAACAAGUCUGAAAACAACCCAGAUAAUAGGUAGAAAUAUGGUUUAAUUUAAAUUUUUUUAUGUAUUUUUUUUGUAUUAAAACAACAACAUAUUAGAUCGAUCGAGGCUUUGUGGCUUAACUUGUUGAACUCGUAAUCCUACUUAUAAACUCCAUUGAAUUUAAUAAAUUUGUUUAUGAUUGUUUUGUAUAAGGUUAUUGUAAUUUUAAAUAAACUUUCUGGUACUUAGUUUAUAUUUAAUUCUAUAAAAAUCUAUUUUAAAAUUAAAUUUCCCAUUGAGUUUUAGAUAAUCAAUAAGGUUUAAGUUUCUAAUAUUAUAUUUCUAGGUCAGAAUCAAUUCUUUUUAUUAAAAAAAUAACAUUGUUUUGUUUAAAAAAUUGAUCUAGUUAACCCAAAAAGUCACAAGUAAAUCAACAAUUCAACAAAAUAGAUUUUUAACAUGAUCAAAACCAGAACCAGGUUGGACGACCACGCCAUAAAUUGCAUCUUAUUUUUGUCUUUGCAAUACAAUAAUACUUACAAACAAUAAAUAACUAAUUUGACAAGUCGUGCGAUUCACAUGGAUUGAACCCCACAUUACACACGGAACAGACAACACAAUAACCCUGACCAUGCUCGACCUUGAGUUAAGUUGUAAAAUGUUCUUCCUAACUAGAUGCACAGCUACGCCUUAGGGAGGGAGGGAGGGAGAGAGAGAGAGAGAGAGCAAAGUGAAAUACAUGACUUUAUUCUUAUUUACUUUUUAAUUUUUUUUUAAAUUGAUUAUUUUAAUUUAUUAUAUUUGGUUUUUAUUUUUUUAAUUGAUAUUUAUUUUAUUUAUAAUAAUUUAUAAAAUUAUAAUUAUUUUUUUUAAUUUUAUUAUCUGUUAUGUGAAGCUAUAUCCCUAUAUAUAAAAAAAAUGAUUUGACUGUGCUUGGGAUUGGGUGUAUGCCUACAUACUUAGUUUUCUAAACAGGCCUUGAUCUUUAUUAGAGCAUCUCCAAUCAGAGAGGCAAAUGAAAAGGCAAAAUUCAAAAAGUAUUUUUUUAGUUUUUGUUUUUCUAAUUAGACAUUCCAAUGCAGCAGCUAACAAAGAAGCCAAAAUGGCUAUUUAGCUUGAGAGGAGCUAUUUCUACAUGUUCCUAUAGAAAUAGCCACAAAAAAAAAAUAAGUAUUUUUUUUUCUUUAAAAACAAGGAAAGAAACUUGUUUUUGUUUUAAAUUUUUUCAAAGCAUGAAUUUUUUUUAAAAAAAAUUGAAAAUCAAAAUUUAAAAUAUUGAUGGUUUUUUUAAAGUUUGAAUUUAAAUUUACUUUUAAAAAAUUAAAUUUUUAACAGUAAAAUAUAAAAUUAAAAAUUAAAAAUAUUCAUAUAAAUAAAUUUUAAAUUUAAUUUUAAAUUAUAUCUUUUAACUUUCAUAUUAUUUCAUUAAAUUUUAUAUUAUUUUUAUAAAUUACUCAUAUUAAUUAUAUAAUUAAUAACAUCAUAAUUAUAUUAUAUAUAAAAUAUCUAAAUUAGUUACAUAAUUAUAUAAAAAUGAAUUUAACAUGAAAUAUAUUAAAAUAUAAAUGGCUUUUCUAAAUAGCUUUUUACCAUUGGAAUGCAUAUAAUAAAAAAAAACUAUAUUUAUACUAUUCAAAAAGCCAUUUUAUCAAUUUGGCUUUUUGCAUUGGAGAUGCUCUUAGGGCAGAAAAUAAGCAACGUAGCACUAACCUUCUAUUCAUGUCUUUUUCCAAAAAGACUUUGACUUGUAGUCUACUUUCUUAUCUUGUUUGUUUGUUUGUUUGUUUUUUUUUUAAGUAUUAUUAAAAAAAUUAAAAAAAUUUUUUAUUUUUUUUACUUCAAUUUAAUAUAUUUUUUAUGUUUUUAGAUUGAUAUGAUAAUAUUAAAAAUAAUUUUUAAAAAUUAAAUAAAAUUUUAUUUUGAUGCAUUUUCAAGUGAAAAAUACUCUGAAAAACAACAACUACCACACUCCUAAACAUUUCUAAAAAAACUACAAGUUUUUUGUUAUUUACAUUUAAAAAAAUUAAAAAAAAAUAAUAGCGCAGCUCAGCCUCCUUCCACUCAAAGAUGCCUUCUCUAACCUUCAAGCGUCUCUUUUUUUUCUUUUUCUUUUUUUUUUCUCUAGCUACGCAUAUGUCAUUGCGGCAACAAUUGCUUACUAGGGAAAACAUUAGCUUUUUAGCUUCCAUUGGUUUAGCCAUGCAUUGCCUCUUUCAUUUCUUAACUGAUCGAUCGUUUUUAACAUUCCAUGUUAAUUUUAUAUAUAGAUGUAGCUCUCAAAUGUACUUGGAAUCAGCAAUUUAGGUUACAUGAACAUCACCCUUUUUCUCACAGAUACAUAUAAAAGAACUUUGGCAUGCUUAAUUGUCUUACUAUGGCUUUGUCUAAAAUAUGAUGAUUGAUCUUUCGCUUAAGAGUUACUUUCCAUGCCAUUGUUCAUUCUUCUCCCUUUCAAUUUGCCUUAGCAUUUGUUGUUUCCCUUUCAAUUCUUCUACUUUUUAUGAUGUUCAAAAGAAAAUUUUCCACCAACUACUUUAAAUGUUAUGUUCAAAGGACAGUAGUUCCACUGUUACUUUUAGCCUGGAGUUCACGAGGAAGCAAUGAGAAACUAGAUUUGCCUUCCCUGCCUUUCCAACUUCCAUAAACAGUUUGAGUGGCUUGCACAAUAGAUAGCUUUUAUUGUCUUUUUUCUUUUCAUUUGUAAUUCACAACAAUAGAUUGGAUCUGAUUAUCUUGGUCCGGAAUAAACAUGAAAAAAAUAAAAAGAAAAAAAGAAACAUACAUUCUCUACUUUAGAUGGCUUGAGCAUCGUUCGUUAAAAAAACAGAUUGGGUCGGAUUAUCUUGGUCUGAAUUGAAAUUUGCAAGAAAAAAAUACAGAAACUUGCAUUGUCUGCUUUAGAUGGCUUGAGCAUUGCUUGCUAGAUUUCAUUAAUUUCUCUUUUUGCAAUGAACUCUUGCAUAUCUGACAGAUCAUGCUACUUUUUUCACGCUAUUAUUGUUCUCUAUUGAACUGCCAAGAUUAUUGGUUGGAUAAUGGCCACUGUGAUUAGAGAAACUGAAAUAAUUUAUAGUCUGCAAGUCUAUAAAUUCAUUAUGGCAGUCAUGUUUUUAUCCAAACAUUGCCAAGAGUCAAGACCAAAGUUAAUCAAUAACAAAAAGAUGAAAAAAACCCCUAAGAUAAAAGUGACAAAAUUCAUGAAACUCAAACACCAAUAAUGUAAUAAAUAAUAAGAUUAAAACAAUCAAUUAAAGAAAAAUUGAAUGAACUCAGAUUAACUUGAUUUAUUCACGACCUGGGAUAUUAAAUAGAAAUAAUCUUAAAAAUAAAAUAAAACAAAUAACAAAGUUUAAGGCACAAUAACCCAAGAUUGAUUAUAAAAAAAAUAAUUAAUUUUCAACCAUAUUGUUCAUCCCCUCAUGUUUGAUGUGCGAACCAAGUAAUUGUUUCUUCCCUGAGACUAAGAGUUAGUGCGUAGCAGAAUGAGCCUUCCUUCUCUCAUUCUGAUCAAUCGUCUUGGAGAGCCUAAGUUCUUGCCUUGAUCAAGACUCCUAUCUUAUCUUAGUUAUUCAACACAUAUGAAGAAAUUUUCCAAAAUCAUUUCUUGACAUAACAUCUUAGUUAUUCAACUGGUUUAGUGGAUUAAUCCGGUUGAAUUAGAUUUAUUUUUUAAUUGAUUUUUUAUUAUUAUUCAACAUUAGAUUAAUUAAAAAUUAGAUUUUAUAAUUUUUUUAUUUGUUUUCUAUCAAGAUUCUCCUAAUAUAUUUUUAUAUCUCAGGUUAAAAUUAUGGGGCAAUUGGAGUUUAAAAAGGCCUUGCAAAAUUGCUAGUGACAUUUUCAUAAUUUUGUUUUGAAAGGUCAUUUUUUGUGUUCUUGUUUUAGAAUACUUUUUUUUUAAUUUAACCAUUCAAUAAUAGGUUUAUUAAGAAUUCGUUUUUAUUUGCUUUGUUUGGGGUUAUUAUUGUCUCAUAACCUGGAUUAUGGAUUUAGAAGGUUAACCUGAGUUGAUUCAGGUUAAUCUAAUAAAUUAUUAUCUCAAUAUUGUUUUUGAAAAUAUGUCAUCUUAAACUUUUUUGAGUCAAACUCUAGUCUUACUAGUUGUUGUCUUUGGACCCAUAAGUCGAUCGGGUCAUAUCGGUUCAACUCUCACUUUUUUACUUGUGUUUGAAAUUUAAAUUACAUAAUUUCAAAUUAGUUUAUAUUUAAAUAUGAAUUGAACUUAUGUUUAUUAAGUUUAUUAUAUAUAUAUAUAUAUAUGAACAGUAUAAUCUUAAAAUAGCAUGCUGAAAUGCUCCGACAUCAAAACAUACCGUUUGAAUUAAAAAAUAAAACACUAUCCGGAACGAGAUUGAUAACCUGACGUUAUAUGUUUAAAAUGAGCAUCAUCGAAUCAUUUAGAGCAACCGUGUACAUAACAAGGGCGUCCCCUUCUCCGUCCAGAGAUUAGGCACUGAAUCUUUCGUUACAGUUAGAGUAGGCGAAGCUUGUCAAUCUUACAAAGGUGGUAGAAUUUGAGGAUUUUUAUUGUUCUUUCUCAUUUUUUGAAUGAAACUGUACUAUCUUACAUAAAAUUUAAAACAACACUGAGAUUUAUACAUAUUCUCUGUUAUUAUUACUUGCUAAAAUGGAAGGAGUAUGGAGAUUUGAAAUUACAAUUGUCGCAUCCGACAUCGCAGUGGCCCUAAAAAAUAAUUCUCUUGAAUUAUUAAUGAAAAAAGAACAAGUUUCUGGCAUCUUGUUUUUUUAGGAAAAAUGGUGUUGUUUGAGGAGUCGCCACCUAGUAUUAUGGUCACUAGGAACCCUAAUUGGUCAACAGAGAUUCUAUGACUCGGGAUUGGUUACGUAAAAGGGAAGAUAUUAUCACCAUUUAAACGUUCUGCCUAAGACAGACUGCAUUGUUAGUUUUGUCUUAAAUUGCUAAAUAUUUAUUAAUUUAUGCUGUGAUGAUUUGUCUACAAUAUUCCUGACUCUAGCGCCAGUGAAUAUUCGAGCUCGAAUAAUUCCAACUCUAGCGUUGGUAAAAAUUCGUAGCUACGACAAAAAUUAGAUCAAUAUAUUUUAUUCCCUACUCCAGCGCCAGUGAAUAAAUAAAUAAAAAUAAAUUUAUUUUUUACGCAUGCACACUUUUUUUUAUUUUUUCUAGCUAAACAAAAUAAAAAUACAACGAAUAAAAAUAAUAUAAAUUUAAACCGAUAUUUUUAUUCCUGACUCUAGCGUCAGUUAAUAAACCAAUAAAUUUACAUUAUUUUUAUUCAUGCAUACAUAUUUUUUAUUUUUUUAUUUUUUAUUUUCUGUUUUUUCUGUUUUUUAUUUUUUCUAUUUUUUUAUUUUUUUUGGGCUGGGUCCAGCUCAGCCCACAUGGGCUGGGCUGGACCCAGCCCGGUCACUGGCCCAAGCCAGUGACCCGGCUGGGCACGCAUGCUGGCAACAGUAAUAAGGUAAGUGUAUUACCUUUGCAAAGUAAUAAGUGAAAUGAAUUUGAAAAGUGGGGAAGAGGAAGAACUUACCUGGUCUGCUGGAGGCGAAGCGUUCUUGUUCUCUGGCUCUUCUCCGUUUUUGUUCGCCUGGCUUGCUCUCUGAUUUAGGAGACGGAGGCGUGAUGGAUGAGCGGCCAAAACUCUGCUUCGGUUCCUUUGUAUGCUCCUGCGUUGUCCUCUUGUUCUUCCUCUGUUUCGGUUUUUUUUCUUGCUGGUUCUCGGUUCCCCUGUUCGUGUUUCCAGUAUUUUCGUCCUCCUGUUUCUGGGUUUCUUGGUCUGCUGCCUUUUCUUCUUCGUCUGUGAGUUCAGUGGUGAAGGGGGGAAGGCGCUGCCCCCUGAGUUACCUUCUCUAUGGCCUUCUUUGGCUUACCAGAGAAUGGCGCCGAGCGCCUCUGUCUCUUUUAGAAGAAACAAGGGCACAAAUUCAGCUCCCCUCCGUACAGUCUCCCUACCCGGUUCUGCUCCCUUUUCUUUCCUCUGGGUAUUUGUUUUCCACCGGUUCUGUGACUCCUUAUUUCUGCCGUUUGUGGCUCUGUUUUUUUUCUCUCCCCCUUAUGCAUGGACUAUCUCUGGCUUUUAUAGCCAGAUAAGAAUGCCGUUUCUUUAAGCCAUGAAUUGUGUUAAUUGCAGGUGUAAUGGUGGGAGCGGCGGGGCGCCCGUUUCAGUCGGGAAGAAGAUGAACAGAAAAGGGAAAACGGCGCCGUUUUUGUGUUUAAUGGCUAUUUGCAUUUUGGACCUUGUAUGUUUGACACUUUUGUAAUUAAGUCCCUAGUUAAAUUGUAAUUGGACCCCUGUAUUUCGGCGCCAUUUUCAUGCUGGUCCUUGGAUUUUAUAUUUUGCAAUUUGGACCUCAAUUAAACUCCAAACUUUGAUAUUUCCUUAAUUAAGUCCUUGAUUUCAUUAAUUUAAUUAAAUCCAAAGUCCAAUUAAGUCUCAAAACUUAUCCAUUCUCCAAUUAAACUCUUAAUUGGAUUAAUUAAAUCAAUUCCAAGUUUAAUUAAGUCUCAAAACUUAUCAAUUCUCCAAUUAAACCCUUAAUUGGAUUAAUUGAAUUAAUUUCAAGCUUAAUUAAGUCUCCAAACUUAUCAAUUCUCCAAUUAAACUCUUAAUUAGAUUAAAUAAAUUAAUUCCAACCUUAAUUAGAUUAAUUCCAAUGUUUAAUUAAACCCCAAAACUUUCAUUCAUAUUACCCUUAACCUAAAAUUUAAUUCAUUCUUCAUUUAUUUCAUUUUACUUCUUUUUUCAUCAUCAUUAUUAUUUUUUCAUCAAUUUUUUUUUAUCCUUUUCAAUAAAUAAAAUAAAAAUAAAAAUAAAAAUAAAAAUAAAAUGAUCAAAAAUUGGGUUAUGACAACAAUGAUUGUUACAAACCAAACUUUUAAAACCGACAAUUGUUCGUUCCUUCCAUUAAGCCCACGUGAUUCAGAUGGAAUGCAAUCAAUCCAGUUUAUACCCAAAGGUGGAGCUUUUCUCUUUCAAUGGUAGUCUUCAGCGGGUGGAGGAUGAACGUGAGGUGGAAUCACCAGGUUCACUGGAUAAAAUCUAUUACGUGUUGAAUGUCAUGUAUAACGGGGUAAGGAAUUAUGAACCUUGAGAGGACGAACAUCUUGAAACUCUUUUAAAACCGUAAUUACUUCUUCAAGUGGUUUCUCUAAAACUUUCUUAACCACUAAAGCAAAUACAACAAACUCUUGAUGAACCUGAAUGUCAAAAUUAUUUGGGCUUAUAAGAUUAAAUCCCUUUCCUUACACAUGCUUUUUUUUCCUCAUUAUUGUUGUUAAGCCUUGGUACUGGUGGUCCAACUAAGUAGAUCUUUCUACUUUUAAGAGUGAAAUAGUAAGAAUUUGACAUACCAAAAAUGACGAUGUCCAUAUCGCAGAGACAUUAUAUACCUAACAUAUCCUACAUUUAUUGGAGUCACAUUACACUCUCAUCAUGGUAACUUGAGAAAGUAAUAGGAAAAAUACAUAUCUCUUUGAUUGGUAUGGAAGUGUUAUUAACCCAUGAUUUUUAUCAAUAAUGUAGUUUAUACCUAGCCCUUUUUGCUUUUUUUUUUUUGGAGGAACGACCGAUGCCCAUUUAACAUUGCAUAGUUUUUUUCCCUCGUUCCCUCCUAAGAACCAAAAAAGAUAUGAUAUGUUUCUCAAUUUUGGUAGCAACAAUGGAUGUGAUAGGAAAUAAAGAAAGGUUGUAGAUAGGGAGAUUAUUUAUAAUUGAUUUAAGCAAGCUUAGUGACGACCUUUCCAGGCAGCCAACUUGCUAUUGAUUCUAUUAACAAUAGUUUUCCACAUGAGAUGAAGAUGCACAAAUAGGCAGGCCCAAAUACUUAAAUGGCAUCCCCUCCAUCCUACAUAUUAGAUUGCUAAAGAAGUAACAAUAGUUCUAGUGAUUGAGCUCUUGUGGAAAUUAACCUUCAGCCUAGAAAUCAACUAAAAACAUCACAUAGUUCUUUUGAUGUUUUGAAGAGAUGGAAAAUCAUAUGAACUGAAGAUGAGUGUAUCAUCUACAAACUAAAAGUGAGUAAUUUUCGGUUGAUCAUGACCAAAACAAAUACCUUUUAUAAGUCCCAAAUCACAUCUGUUCUUAGCAUUCUACUAAGACCCUCAGUUGCUAUAUUGAAAAGAGAUGUUGAUAAAGAGUCCCCUCUUCGCAAUCCCUUUUCCAUAAAGAACUCUACAAGAAUUGAAAGUUUUGUUGUCGAAAUACAUUAUUGUAUCCAUCAUCUCCAUCGUGAACCAAAACCUACACAAGCCAUAACUGCCGAGAUACCUGGGCAGUAAUUGUUGUGCGUGGUCUAGGAUCGUGUGCGAUACCACUGAAAGGCGAGUGAUCCAACUCUCUCUUGGGGGUGCUGGGGAUUGGGGGUUAGGCGAGUGGGUUCUCAAAGCAUCUUUGUUUCUGCCUUUGAAAGAAUUGCAAAGUCUUGAUUUGAAGGCUAAUGAAUUAGUUGGGUGCCUUUGAGAAUCAAGGCUGGUUCAUAUUAUUGUGUUCAGGGGCGGAAGCAGGGGGGCUAGCAGGGGCCCGGGCCCCCCUGCAACACAAUUUGUUUUUUAAUUACUGGGUAUUAGUAAUUAAAUGUGAGGUGAGCUUUAAAUUUAAAUUAAAUGUGAUUUUAUUUUUGAUUUCUUUUGAAUUUAUUCUUUACUACGUGGGAAGGGAAAAAAUAUAAAAGUAUUAUUUUAUAAAAUAAAAAUCAGAGACACCAAUUUACCGUAAUAUAAAUCUUACAGCUGAUCAAAAACAUAAAUAAAAACAUAAAUCACGAGCAAAUUUUUUCUAUAAAAAGAUCAAUGUACAGCCACCAAUUAAUUUGUUUUUCAUCAAACAAAACAAGGUAACUUAAAUUUAAAAUCUAAUUUUGUUUUGUUUUGAAAUGUUUGUUAAUAAUUUGAUGAUAUUUUUUUUAUAUAAUUCUAUUAUUUUUGCUCCUUUUUUCUCUCAGAUUUGCUAGUUCUACCAAUUAUUUUUUUAAAAUUCUUGUUAUAGUUAUUUUUUUCUAAUUAAUUAGAUAUAUUUUAUUGGUUUGUUUUGAUUGUGCUUGAAUUAUAUAUAUAUAUAUAUAUAGCAGAGCCACCAAAAUUAUCAAUUUUUUCUUAUGAUAAAUGUUUUGAUUUUAGGUUGAACCAUGAACAAAAUAAGAAGAAUUGAUUUUUUUUAAAAAGAAAAAAUAUUGAUAACUCAUAGCAUAUUGAACAAACUUUUUCAGUGAUAAGGAUUGUUAAAACAAGACUUCGCAAUCCAUCAAAUGGAGGAUGAUUUUCUUACAAAUUAUUUGAUUGUCUAUAUAGAAAAAGAAAUUACUGAAAGAUUCACAAUUGAUAUGAUAAUCGAUAAUUUCUAUUCUAUGAAAGAACGACGAGCACAGUUAAAAUAAAUAUGUAAAAAUCAUUCUUUAUUAUUUUUUGCUUUAUUUUAAAGUUUAUCAAACAUAAAUAAUGUUUCGCUUUAGCUAGUGUUUCUUAUAUAUUUUGUAUGUUUAUAUUUGAUAGGUAUAAAGAUCAACAACAUUAAAGUGAUAGAUAUAUUAUGAAGAUGAAAUUAACAUUAUGGCUUUGACUUAAUUUGAUAUUGCUCCAAAUAUUUUACCUUUGUUUUACAACUCAUGUACAAUAAAUUAAAACAAAUAUUAUAUCUUGUUAUAUUAAUUUUGGCCCCCCCUAACAAAUAAUCCUAACUCCGCCCCUGAUUGUGUUAUACUAAAAUUAAAAAUGAUGAAAUGGCUGCUGUGUAACGCUACUUAUUUUGCUUUGAUAUUUCUCUUGCAGGCUUUGGAGUGUUGAAGCCUUGUACGUAUUAAUUUUCGCAAGUUCUCCAACUUCAGAAGAUCUUAGCAUGGGAGUACUGAAUUUGUUGUGGUUGCUGGUGAGGGAAUAAGUUGUUUGCUUCUUGCAUUCUUGGCCCAAAAUUGUGUUAGUUCGAAACUUGUCGGCAAUUUUCUUGAAUGUGUCCAGCUAAUGGGUGUUUUUUAGUGUGUUGACCUCAUAGCUUAGCCUUAUUGUUGGUCGUUUCACUCGAGAAGUUUUGUAACUAUAUUGAUCUGUGGGAUCCUAAGUCUGUCUUGUUUAAUUACUUUGUUUUCUUUUUUGCACUGACCAUCAUGUUGGAGUAUUCUUAUCAAGAAGUUAACAAUGAUAUAGUCCAUCCUCAAGUUCAGUUUCUUAUUCAUCUCUUCCUAAUUUAACAUAAAAAAUGAGAAAAAUAUAUAGAAAACUCCUACUAAAACUAACUCUUUCAGCUUGUCUCAAGGUGUAUGCAGUACAGAGAUAUCCUUUAAUGAUGAAGACGUGUUGCUUAGAUCAAAACUCCAUAAACAAUAUUUUUUAAUUAAAAGAUAUAUCAAUAAAAAGAUGGUAAAUUGUAUCUUGGUGGAUAAUAAUUCGACUAUUAAUAUACUACCUCUUAAUAUUAUAAAAAAACUCGAGAUUUAUAUUUAUGUUUAUAUAUAAAAAAUAAUAUUGUUUUGACACACACACAUAAAAUUAGGUUGAUCCAAGUUAACCCGUAACCUGAUAAAAAAUCAUGAUACAAAUCUUACUCCAAGCUAAACCCCAAGUAGUGUCUAACGAGGAUUAUUUGGAAAAAGAUUCUGGAUGCCCACCAGUAUGCAUAAGGAAAUCACCAGGAAAUUACUCAUCUUGGCCAAUAGUGCUAUAAAGAAGAGAAAGUGGAUACCACUUUCUCAUCAAUUACGACAAUAAUUGACUCCCAGUCAAUGUGGUCCAAGCAAAUUGUUUGGUGAGGUUAUAUGCCAACAAAACUAAUUUGAAUAUUUUUAAUGUGGAAAAAAUUAUUAAAUGUUGUAGUGAUAUUAUGUUUUUUUUUAUUUCGAGAUAAUAAAAACAUUACAUUUAGAAAGGUUUCAGAUUAAUUAAAUAGGUUAUGAAAAUAUAAUUGCUUAGUGGUAUAGAUCAUGAAAAUAUGAUUGCUUAGUGGUUGUUUAAUGGUAUAGAAGUAUUAGGUUAACAAUUAGACAAUAAAAUUAGAAGUUGUUAGUUUAAGUAUUUUACAGGGGCUACUGUUUGAUCCAAAAAAUGAUUUGAAUAGAAACUGUUUUUAACCCAAAUUUUAUACAUAGGAAAAGCUUGUUCUCUCUGGUUUUUAAUACCAUAAAUGGUGUAUUAAUCCAGUUUUCACAGAAAUAGCUAUGAUGAAAAUAGUAAAGAAUACGUGGACGGACUAUCUGUUAACAAUACCCAGGAAUGAUUUCGGGGAUUAUUAUAAAUUAUAUAAAAGGAAUUGCUAUCUGAAUUAUAUACAUGGAUGAAAAGGUAAUUGAGACUAGUUUACAACCCAAAAAGCAUAAUAGAAUUCUGAAUGCUCUAGGAGCUAUGAUUAGUUUAUUAGGUAGCAUGUAGUUAACAAAUUAUUGUAGUUAAGUGUUGGAGGGAUUUUAACAGGUUAUAUGCUUGCGAAUAGGUUUUCUGAGCUGAGAUUUCAGACCAGGCAAAGUAGAGAAGUUAGUAGCAGCGAGCAAGAACCAUGAACUCACAAACCAGACCAAUAUCAGAAAUGUGAGGAAUCAUUAGCAAAAAGUUAAAAAAAUAAUAAUGACAUAAGCAAGUGUCGGUCAAGUAAUAUACAUAGACAUCUUUUUUUACUUCCUCCAGAGGUACAGAGUAUAGGAGUUUACUUCGCCACCAUUUUGUCUAAAAAUUCUAGCUACGAGCUUCAUGGUUAAUUUUCUUGAAUUGAAAAAACCUUUCAUUUAUGGCUAUGCUCUAUAAUAUGUAAGUGAAUUAGUUGCAAACCAGGGGAGUCUAUGUGAAAACAUUACAAUAGCAUUUACUCUGAGUAAGAACACCUCCAUGCAUGUGCUGUAAUUGACAAAGAAAAAAAGAGAAAUCCUUUCAAUUUAUGGAAAUGCAAUGAGUUAACCUUAUAUCACACUGCAAUAUAUACUCUACAGUAUUGAAGUAUGAAAACAUUGAAACGGGAAUAAAGAAAAUAAUUCAUCAAACAAUAUGAGGGUUGUUUGGAAAAAGAUUCUGGAAGAGACCACCAGUAUGCGUAAGGAAAUCACCAGGAAAUUACUGCAUGGUUGCUUUUAAAAAUCAAAAUGGUACACAGCAAGUCAAGCAUCCGCGUUCACAACCUUUUAAUGCUUGAACUCAUCUUAGCCAGUAGUGCUAUAAAGAAGAGAAAGUGGUAUAUCCACUUUCUCAUCAAUUACUUAAGAUUCGUGGAAGAUAUGAUACAGGAGAUAAGAAAAUGAUUGCUAUUAUCCACAAUUUCUCUGUUAUAUAUAUAUAUUAAAGAACUCUAAAAGGCGUGGGGAAAACACUGUAGCUUCCCCACGCCUUUUAAUUAUACUUAUAUAUAAUAAUAAUUAUAAUUAUAAUUAUAAUUAUAAUUAUAAUUAUAUUAUUAUAUAUAUUAUUUUUCGUUUUUAUUUUUUUCUAUAUUUGUUUUGGUUUUUUAUGCCUUUAUGGGUUUUUUUGGCUUCUUUCUUAGUUUUUUUUCCUUUUCAUUUUUUUUUGUUUAAUUUAAUUUGUUAAUUGAUCCCGAAUUUGACGGGUUAACCUGGUUUGAUGAGUUAACUAGAUAUUUUUUUAUUAUUAUUAUUAAUUUUUUUCAUUUAGUUUAGUUUGUUAAUGUUAAAUUUCUUUCUAUUUAAUUAUCAGACUUUCAUGACACGUAUUCCAAGCUUGACAGCUUAACCCGGUUAAUUAUGGGUUAACCCCGUCAAUUUUUUUUUUCUAUUUAAUUAUCAGACUUUCAUGACACGUAUUCCAAGCUUGACAGCUUAACCCGGUUAAUUAUGGGUUAACCCCGUCAAUUUUUUUUUCCUAUUUAGUUAUUAAACUUUCAUGAUGCGAAUCUAAUGUUUGACGGGUUAUCCUGGUUUGAAAGGUUAAUAAGAACUCUAAAACGCGUAGCUUUUUCACUGUAGCUAAAAUUGUUUUUUUUUUUGUUUUUGGUUUUUUUUUUCUGUAACAGUUUUUCCUUCUUUUUUUUUUUUGCUUUUGCUUUUGUUUUUUUUUUUAAUGUUUUUUCAUUGUAGCAGGUUUUUUUUUUUUUUUUUUACAUGUUUUUUUUUAACGCGUGGGUUUUUAACUGUAGCGGCUUUUUUUUUUCCUCACUUUUGUUUCUUCUAUUUUUUACAUAUAAUGUAUCACUGUGCACAUAGUGAAACACUUGACUUUUUUUUUCCUUUUUGUUUUCCUUUUUUUUCCCGUUUUCCCCAUGGGUUUUUUUUUUUCCCUUUUUCUUUGUGUUUUUUUUCUUUUAAUGAAUUUUUUUUUGUUUAAUUUAGUUUGUUAAUGUGAAAAAAAAAUUAAUUUAGUUACCGUACUUUCAUUACACGGAUCUCGGUUUUUUUAUAUAUUAAGCUGGUUGAGAACUUAGCUUUAUAGCUUUUUUUUUAAAAAAAACAUUAUGGAUUACUACAGUGUUUCCCUUACAGAUUUUUGUUUCGCUGCAGUGUUUCUCCCACAUGUUUAUUUUUUAAAUUAUCUUUGUUAAAUUUAUUUUUUUAAUAUUGAGUUGGUUGAGAAUUUAGCUUUAGCUUUAACUUUCCCCACGUUUUUUCAUUAUAAUUAUUAUUAUAUUGUAUUAUAUUAUAUGAUUGUUUUUUUUCUUUUCUUUUUUCUUUUUAAUUUUUUUUAAUGAAUUUUUUUUGUUUGAUUUAGUUUGUUAAUGUUAAUUGUUUUUUAUUUAGUUAUCAUAUUUUCAUGAUACGAAUCUCGGGUUUGAUAGGUUGACCUGAUCUGACGAGUUAUUUUUUUUCAUUUAGUUUAGUUUGUUAAAGUUAAUUUUCUUUCUAUUUAAUUAUCAGACUUUCAUGACACGUAUCCUGGGCUUGAUGGGUUAACUUGGUUUGAUGGGUUAACCCGGUUAAUUCUGGGUAAACUCAUCAUUUUUUUUCUAUUUAGUUAUCAAACUUUCAUGACGCAAAUCUCAGGUUUUACGGGAUAACCUGGUUUAAAGGGUUAACCCAAUGAAUUCAAUUUUUUUUCUUUUUCUUCAUUAGUUUUUUCCUUUCUGUUGAUUUUUUUUCUUUGUUUUUUUAAUUAAUCUAUUUAAUUAUCACACUCUUAUGACACGAUCUUAUAGCCAGAUCCAGAUCCAAUAUUUUUGGGUCCGGUGUUACAGUCAGGCUCACUUAAACUUGGGUCAUGCAAGUUUAAUUUUAUUAUUAAUAUUAUAAAUAUUACUCUUAGGUCAGACGUUGCAGUCAAACCAAGAUUCUUGGGUAUAACUUUGCAGAAAAACCCAAGAUUUUAAAAAUUUUAUUUUUUUAAUAUUUUUUAUACAAAAAAAAAUAACCCGCGGCAUCGUGCGUCCAUUAGAUAAUCAAUAAUAUUGUAUAUAUUCUUUUUGGAGAAGUAACUCAUCUUCACACCCUUCUUGUAGUUUUCCAUUCAUUUUCACACCCCAGUUGCCACCUGCUUUUCUUUCCACUCCCGCACACAAAUAGUGCAAAAAAGCACUACGACAAUAGUUGACUCCCAGUCAAUACGGUCGACGCAAAUUGUUUAGUGAAGUCUUAAAUUGUUUGGUGAGGUUACAUGCAAUGCAAAAAGGCGGAGUCAGAAAUUUUUUUGUCCUGGACUAUUAAAUGAAUAUAUAAAUAUUUUUUAAGAUCGAUUAUUAACUCAUGUAUAUGAAUUUUUGAAAUUAAUAAUAAAGUUUUAAUUUAAAUAAACUAUCCAAAAUAUUAAAAAAUAAAUUUGAAAGCACAUAAAAUCAAAGCGAAAAUAAAAAUAAACUCACUAUUAAAGUUACAUCCUUUAAUGUUUUGUAGAAUAUAAUUCAUCUAUAAUCGAAUCUAAAUCGAUAUUGUAACAAUCCUUCAACCAGGAUAAAAUAACAAUCUCAUAUCAAUUGGAAAAUAAAAUUAUUAAAAUUUUUUCCUCUUUUAAUUCCUUCUUCCUUCACUUGAUUCUUCCCUGAAUUAGUGUUUUAUAAGUUGGACUUUGUAAGUUUACAAGGUUAUUCUCUCACUUCUUAAUUUUUUUCUUGGAAUUAUUUUUUAUGUUUUUCCCUUACUUUUUUCUAUUUCUCUCUCGCCUUUUCUAUUCUUUCUUCUAUUCUGCUUCUGCUUAGUCAGAAACAUAUAAAAGGAAGGAGGAGCUGAUUUGUUUUAUUUUUUAAUAGCAAAUAAUCAUUUUACUUUUAAUGAGUCAUUUUGUUUUUAUUUGACGAUUUUUUUUUUGUUAGCACUACUAAGCUCCUUUCAUCCUAAAAUCUUAACUAGAUUUUAUUCAAUAUAUUUUAAGAUCCCUCGUAAAAUUUCAACUCGAUCUGAUGGUCGGAUUGAAAAUUACGUCCAAUAACGUAAAACUGAUCAAAUUGUGUUUUUUCAUCAAAUUUCUAAAUUUCUCCAAAAAUUCUGAAAUUUUAACCUAAUCUAAAGCAUCAUAUUAGAAGGCUCCACAUAAAUUUUUAAAAUUUUUUGAUAACUUAAUUGAGAAUUAUAAAAAAAUUUUACAUAAAAUUAGUUAAAAAAUAUUGAUAAAAUCUUGACCUAGGCUAAAACCCACCCCAGCCUUUGCCAUGCCUCCGCCUUUGAAUAUUUUUCCCAACCUGGCGAAUAGACUAAGAGCUAAACAAUAAAAUAAAAUAAUAUUCAAAUCUCAAAACAUGUAACUGCACAAUAUAUGCAGAUAAAGUCAUGGAAAUGACCAAAGUGUUAUAAAAGAGUGUCUUGGGAACUUACAGUAGAUUUCGUUGGAACUCUUGUCUCAGGACAGUAGCAUAGCUUCUUGAAUCUCCGUUGCUAAUCGGAACAGGGGAGCAACGAGAAGCUUGGAGUGGUCGCAGAUUGUCUUUGUUUUGCUCAUGAGGCUGCCUGUCGAAACGCUGAAGAUUUGCCCGCAUCUUGUAGGAAUCAAACCAAAGCUCCUUUUAAGAAAAUUUAAUGACCAAAAGGACGAAAAUCAUAAAAAUCUGCCUUGUGUUUAAAAGAAACACCUCCCUUCUGUUUCCUGAACAUGUCAGGUCAUAUUUUAGGCUUGAUCCAAUAUAAUUUAAUUUGUUGUAAACUUUAAGUGUAGAUAAAGAGGCUUAAGAGUUUUUGAAAGAGCUUCCUUGCUUGGAAUUUUAGUUUGUAGCAAUCGCCUUCUAUAGUUUUGUAAAUAAAAUGAUGAAAUUUGAGAGAAUUAGUUUUUCUAGAAAUUUAUAGGAUAUAAUUAAUAACUUGACUUUAAUUUAAAAGGAUUAAUGGACAUCAUAAAAUUUCAACUAAUAUAUAUAUAUAUAUAUAGGAACUGCAUGGCCACAAAAAAAAAAAAAAAAAGAGUAAGACUUCGAUCAUUGAUGAGUUGUUUAUAUUGGAUGUAAAUAUAUUUCAAACAAUUAUCCACAUCCAAAUUAAGUUAAGGGUAUGUUUAUAAACAUUAAAUUUUUUACGAACCUCCUUAAUUUUCAAUUGAAAUCUUGAAGGAUAACACAAGUAUAUUUCAUUUUCUGACAAUAUUAGUGUAAGGUAAAACUAUAGAGAAAGUGAAGAAAAUAUUAGAGCAAAAGACAUUUUUCCAACCCACUAAUCAAUUCCUUUAAAGAGGAAGAUUCUCUAUUUCUUGAAAGGCUAAUUUUGCACCUUUUUUUUUCUUGCGGAACGCAUUCACACUACAUUUAAAAUUUAGGAAAACUAAAUCUAUGAUUUUUUUUAUAAAUUGAUCUUAUUGUUAUUUUUUUAUCGUCCCAUAUAUACCUUAAGUAAACCUUGCUUUUAAUUAUUUCGAUGAAUAAAACAUUUAUUUUUAAUUUUAUUAUUAGUUUUUUCUUAUUUUUUUAUGAUAAUUGAGGAAUAUAUAUAUUAAUACCGAAAAAACACCCGAAUUUAAAUGAUCAGCCAUUAAAAUUAAUCAAUAGGUGGUUGCAUUCUUCUAACACACUACAUUAAGAUUUAUUUUUUAUACAAGUUGAAAUUAAAGCAUAUAUAUAUAUCAUCCCUUCUCAAGCUUGAGGGGAAAUGGUGCAACGAACCCGUCUCUUAGAAAAAACGUAGAUUGCAAUAAUAAUGUUUGAUUUUGCCAACACUAUUAAAGUUAAAGCAUGAUUUUCUAAACGUGAUUUCCAUAAAGAUAGAAGAGAGGGCUCUGUAUUCAUCAUCUUCAUGGAAAAUGAGCUGGCCAGCGUUAACUUUUUAUUCAUGUUUUUCCACAGAAGACUUUCACUUAGGGUCAACUUGUUGAUUAAUUACUUUUAUGCAAUUCAAUUAUUCUUUCAAUCUUCUCGUGUGAUUCACUAUUUGGGGAUUCUAAAGUCACCUAUUUAAACUUUAGUACAUUAUACAACUAAAUUUAUUCUUUCGUUAAUUAGUAUUUAUUGUACAGCUAAAUAAUUGUGGAAUGGCGUGGUAGUUGGAUCUAUUUGUUUGUUUAUUUUCUUUUGUUUGUGAUUAAAUAAUUCGGGGACAAAUAAAAAAAUAAUCUUAUUGCUAGAGAGGCAUUGGAGCCUUUAAUAUUCUGCAGAGGCAUGGAACACGAUGCCAUGGGAAUGGAAUGUAGUUGUUGACAGCUGGCGUCAACCAGAAUAUUCUAAAAUAUUCUUAUUAUUUCAAAGAAAAUUCUAUCAAGAGGAAUUCUUUAUCUAUUUGGGAGGACAUCGAAGUCAAAAGGGAGUGGUAGCUCAUCAUUUCCAAGAAACUUCUAUCAAGGAACAAAGCUACUUUCGGAGAAUAACAUAAAAUAAAUUUGUCUCUAUUUAUUUGCUAUCCAACCAUCCAGUGUUUGAGACUACAGUUGAAAAAUAAUUUUUAAGAGAUUUGAAUUUUUAUUUUAUUUUAAAUUAAUAUGUUUUUUAUAUUUUUAUAUUAUUUUGAUAUGCUAAUGUCAAAAAUAAUUUUUUUAAAAAAAAUAUUAUUUUAAUGUAUUUUAAAAUAAAAAACAACCACUAUCAUAUUCAUAAACAUCCUCUAAUAGUUGUGGGAACAAGGCACAGUCACAGACAUAUCUAGAAAAGAUAAAGAGUGGAGUUGUAAAUUGUUAAUUCAUCUUAAAAACAUAAAGAGCCCCUCUGUUAUGGCUAAGACAGAUAUUUUAGAGAAAGUGGUGCUCAAGGUUUCAAGUACUGAUUUUUAAAAAUACCGAACAAUUAAUUAAACUAAAAAUUUCAAACUAAUAAAAAAAACUGAAUAAACCAAUUAAAAAAAACAUUUUUCCAACCCACUAAUUAAUUCCUUCGAAGAGGAAGAUUCUCUAUUUCUUGAAAGGCUAAUUUUGCACUGUUUGUUUUCUUGCGGAAUGCAUUCACACUACAUUUAAAAUUUAGGAAAACUCAAUCUAUGAUAUUGUUUUAUAAAUUGAUUGUUAUUUUUUUUAUCGUCCCAUAUAUAACUUAAGUAAACCUGACUUUUAAUUAUUUAGAUAAAUAAAACUUUUAUUUUUAAUCUUAUUAUUAUUAUUUUCUUAAUUUUUUAUGAUAAUUCAGGAAUAUAUAUAUAUAUAUAUAUAUAUUAGUACUGAAAAAACACCCAAGUUUAAAUGACCGGCCAUUAAAAUUAAACGUCGGUGGUUGCAUUCUAACUGUUAGAGAAUAAUAUAAAUCAUAUCUUGAGAGUUUACCUAACAGUUUAAGCUAUUGGGUUGAGAUAAUUCGUUGACAUGAUAUCAGAGCCUUAAUGACAAGGCGGUCACGAGUUGGAAUCUCACCAUCCUCAUUUAUUUGAUAAAAAUUAAACACAAUGUAAUAUGAGUCUGUGCAAGUUUCAAGCCCAAAGGGCUUUCACUUAAAAGAGUGUGUUAGAGAAUAAUAUAAAUCAUAUCUUGGAACCUUACCUAAUAGCUUAAACUAUUUGGUUGAGAUGGUUCUUCGACACUAACACACUACAUUAAGAAUUUUUUUUUAUAUAUACAAUUUGAAAUUAAAAGCAUAUAUCAUCCUUUCUCAAGCUUGAGGGGAAAUGGUGUAACGGACCCAUCUCGUAGAAAAAACACUUGAUAGCAAUGAUCUCACGUCAACCUUUUAUUCAUGUUUUUCCACAAAAGACUUUGACUUGGGGUCAACUUGUUGGUUAGUAAAAUCACUUUUAAGGCCCCGUUUUAUUUGUUGGAAAGCAGUUUUUUUUUUGGAAAGUAAAUUCUGGGAAAAUAAAUUUCAGGAAAGUGAAUUAUUUUCCGAUAUUUGGUAGUGUAUUGAGAAAUAAGUUAGAAAACAUUUUCCAGUGUUUGGUUAUGUCAUGGAAAAUAAGCUGGAAAAUAACUUAUUAAUGUUUUAUUUUUUUCAAGUGUAUUAAAAUAAUAAGGAAAAAAUCUUAUAAAUUAAAAAGUUUAAUGAUAAUGAAAUUGAAAAAAAAAUAUAAUUUCAUAAAUUAUCUCGAAUAAAAUAAAUAAUAUUCAAAAUAAUAGAUAUCAAAAUCUAAAAAAUUAAAAGAUAAAUAAAUUAAAAUAAUAAUAAUUAACAUUUUAUAAAUUAUUUCAAAUAAAAUAAGUAAUAAUCAAAAGAAUGAGGGCCAAAUUUGAUAGAUAAAAUAUUUCAAUUAAAAAAUAAUAAGGAAAAAGCAAAUACCAAUUAUAAAAAUGAGGACCAAAGUUAAUAUAAAAAUUAAAUUCUAAUGGAUGAAAUUGAAAAACAAAUAUUCAAAACAAAAUAUAUAUAGCAAUCAAAAGUUUGAGGACCAAAUUUGAUAUAAUCAGCAAAUAAUAUGACAUUUCUAAAUUUUUCACAACUUCCGAAAAGUAUUCCGCCCAAAAUAAAAGGAAAACAUUUUUCUGGAAAACCAAGCUAAAUUUUUCUUUGACUAGAAAAUAUUUUUCGUUAACCAACUUUUUUAAUAACAAACAAACACAUGAAAGUUUUUAAAAAGUAAUUUCUGGAAAAUCACUUUUCAAAAAAGAAACAUAUCCUAAUUAUUCUUUCAAUCUUCCCGUGUGAUUCACUGCUUGGUGAUUCUAAAGUCGCCCAUUUAAACUUUAGUACAUUAUACAACUAAAUUUAUUCUUUCACUCGGUAUUUAUUAUAUAUUCAAUUCGUUAAUUGUUAGAAAAUACGAAAGAGAUAAAGACAAAUACAAAUAUAUUUAUAACCAGAAAAGUUAGUGAUUAAUAAAAUAUCUUUUGCUAGUUUUGAAUGAUAUCAAAGUUAAUUGUUUUUAGAUGAGUCUGGAUUAAUUCUGUUAAUUUUAUUUUUAAUUUUUGAACUAUAAAAGUAUAAAUAAAUUUAAAAUAAAUAUCUUUUUACAAUAGUUUUAGAGUAAAAUUUGUACUUUUAAAAUAAAAAAAUAUAUAAAAGCAUGUUUUUGAUAUUCCCAUUAUUUUUUUAUUUUAUAUCUUGGUAAUUAAAUGCUGCCUGGUUAACAUAACACUAAAUCAUAAUAAAUAAAAAAUUAAUUGUGGAAUGGCAUGAUAGUUGGAUUUUUUUUUUGUGUGUGAGUGUGAUUAAAUUAAUUAUUUUGAUAAAUGACACAUGUAUUCGGGGACAAAUAAAAAAAUAAUCUUAUUACUAGAGAGGCAUUGAAGCCUUUAGAGCGUUCUCGAGAGUGUGAUUACAGUUGUUUUUUUAAGUUUUUUUUUAUUUGAAAAUAUAUUAAAAUAAUAUAUUUUUUUAUUUUUUUAAAAUUAUUUUUAACAUAGACGCAUCAAAAUAAUUUAAAAAAUAAAAAAAUUUUAAUUUAAAAUAAAUUAAAAAUGAAAUUUUUUAUAAAUAUUUUUAAAACAUAAAAAUAAAAAUGUGCUUGAUAUUCUCCCGAGACAUGGAACACAAUGCCACAGGAAUGUAAGAUAGUUGUUGAUAGCUGGCGUCAACCAGAAAAUUCUAAAAUUCUCAUCAUUUCGAAGAAAAUUCUAUCAAGAGGAAUUCUUUAUCUAUUUGGGAGGACAACAAAGCCAAAACGGGAGUGGCAGCUCAUCAUUUCCAAGAAACUUCUAUCAAGGAACGAAGCUACUUUCAGAGAAUAACAGAAAAUAAAUUUGUCUCUAUUUAUUUGCUAUCCUAUCCAACCAUCCAGUGUUUGAGACUACAGUUGGAAAAUAAUUUUUAAAAGAUUUGAAUUUUUAUUUUAUUUUAUUUUAAAUUAUUAUAUUUUUUAUAUUUUCAUAUCAUUUUAAUAUGGAGAUGUUAAAAAUAAUUUUUAAAAAAUAAAAAAAAUAUUAUUUUAAUAUGUUUUAAAAUGAAAAACAACUGCUACCAUACUUACAAACAUCCUCUAAUAGUUGUGAGAACAUCAAGGCACGAUCACAGACAUAUCAAGAAAAGAUAAAGAGUUGAGUUGUAACUUGUUAAUUCACCUUAAAAACAUACAGAGCCCCUCAAUUAUGGCUAAGAAAGAUAUUUUAGAGAAGGUGGUGCUCAAGGGUUUUAAGUAGGGGUGUUCAAAAAAACCGACCAACUGAUUAAACCGAAAAAAGUUAGAAAAAAUUAACUGAAAAAAACUGAACUAGUAGAAAAAAUCGAAUAAACCGAUUAAAAAAUAAAAAAACACCCGGUCCGGUUUGGUUCUAGUUUAAAAAGGCUUAAACCAAUUGAACCGAACCAAACCGAACCGGUUUCAUUGAAUAUAAAAAAAAGUAUAAAAAAAACAUCCUAAACCUAAAUAGUAAAUACCAUAACCCUACUUUUCCACCCCCCCCCCACCUUUCUAGUUGCCCCCCUUCCCUUUCCUUUUUCCCCAUUCCCUUUCCUUUCCAGCCGCCCCACCCAUACCUCCCUCCCUACUCUCUCUCACUCCCCCCUUCCCCUUCCCCUUUCCAGUCGCCCCCCCCCUUCUCUCCACUCUCUCUCCUCUGUGCUUUUUUCUCUCAUUUUUUCUCAUAUUAUUGCCUUUCUACUCUCUGCUUUACUUUAUGGCAGAAAACUUAGAUAAAAUCCUUGUUUCUGGUUUUAUUCACAUGUAGUUGUGCUAGCGAGGUCCUAGUAGUUUGCGGGAUGCUAUUGGAAUCUUUGUUAACUUGUAGUUGUGCUAACUUGGAUAAAUCCAGUGAUUGUGUGAUUCGGCUAAGGGAGAUCUUUCAGAUCUCAACCGAAGGGCCUAAGUUCAAAGUUUUCGAUAAAGAUUUUUUGAAUGUGAUUCGGCCAAGUUUAUCCAGUGAUUGUGAUUCGGCCAAGUUUUCUCUUAUUUAAUUGGUUUUGAUUUUUCUGGUUUUUAAGGCUAAAAAACUGACCCAAACCAAACAAAACUGGUUCUCAGUUCGGUUCAGGUUAUAUUAACAAGGAAUAGUAUUUUCCGGUUUGGUUGAAUUUUUAUGUUAAAACUGGACCAAACCGGACCAUGAACACCCUAGUUUCAAGGGAGUUUUCUUUGGAAAACGAAGGUCCAUAAACAAUUUUAUAAGGAGCCCAAAAUUCUCAAUUAAUUAAUUAAUUAAUUAUAGAUCGGUUAACUUUUCGCAUGGUUUAAGUUUUUUUUUAAUAGAAAAAACAUUAAAAGCAUCUACAUAUUACCUUUUAUAUUGAAAAAAUAGACGAUCCGAUUAUAGCAUAACAUGAACUAAAAUGCAUUUUGGCUUUGGUGGUAAUUAAUGGGUAUUUAUCACUUUCAGGUAAUGUCAAUGUUAGAACUAUUGCUUUAGCCGAAGACUGUGUGGUGGCUAAAAUGGCAAAGCUUGUGGAAGAAGCUCCAAACAACAAGUCUAAAACUCGAAGAUUCAUAGACAAAUUUGCUAUAUUUACGGGGGCAGAGACAUAGAGAAGACAGAGAGACUUGUGACCUUCCACCAGUAAAAGGAACUUCAACUUCCCCUCACCGUAGGUUGUUGAUCCAACCAACCAAAUACAAACCCAGAGAAACCAGGACGAACACACAAAAGCCACAUAGAAGGGGAGAACCACAAACAAUAAUACAAAAAAACAUAGAUGAAAAAUGAACAAACACAUAUAAUACAAAGAGAGGCCAAGAGGAACAAGAAUAGAGGGAACAAAAGAAAUAAAAAAAGAAGAGAAAACAAGCAAAGAAAAGCAAGAAGAGAGGUGUAGCGCCGCACCAUGAGGGAGCCUGUCAAAGAACCAUUUUAACCUAAUAGCUUAAGUUGUUAGGUGAGGUCUCAAGAUAAUAUUAUUUUCUAACACACUCCCUCAAGUGAAAGUCCUUUAGGCUUGAAACUUGUAUAGGUCCACAUUACUUUGUGCUUAAUUUUUAUCAAAUAAAUGGGGAUAAUGAGAUUCGAACUUGUGACUGCUUGGUCAUCAAAGCUCCGCUACCAUGUCAAGGAACCGAUUCAACCCAAAAGCUUAAGCUAUUAGGUUAGAUCCUAAGAUAUGAUUUAUAUUAUUCUCUAACACACCCUCUCAAGUGAAAGAUUUUUAGACUUGAAACUUAUAUGGUCACAAUAUGUUUUUUCUUAAGAAAAUAAAGUGAUGUCAUGUGUUAAUAACAUUUAAGGAUUUUUUCCAAUCAAAUAAUCAAAUUUAUUUUAGUUAAAAAGUUUCCAAUCAAUAACAGCAUUCCCAAUUAAAUCAAAGUUUUUCCACGAACCCAUCUCGUGGAAAAAAUGCAUGAUGGUUGGAAAAGAACGUCUCACUACCUCUCCUUGAGGAAAAAUGCAGAUGACAUAACUUUCUUAAGCUUGUGGAAGAAGCUCAAAACAGCAAGUUUAAAACUCAAGGAUUCAUAGAUAAAUUUGCUAAGUGAGACCUCAAGAUACCAUCUCAACCCAAUAGUUUAAAUUAUUAGGUGAGGUCUCAAGAUAUGAUUUAUAUUAUUUUCUAACACACCCCCUCAAGUGAAAGCCCUUUAGGCUUGAAACUUGUACAGGUCAACAUUACCUUAUGCUUAAUUUUUAUCAAAUAAAUAAGGAUAGUCACAUUCGAACUCGUGACCGCUUGGUCAUCAAAGCUCCACUACCAUGUCAAGGAACCAAUUUAACCCAAAAGCUUAAACUAUUAGGUUAGACCCCAAGUAAAAGCCUUUUGAACUUGAAACUUAUAUGAUUACAAUAUUUUUUUUCUUAAGAAAAUAAAGUGAUGUUAUGUGUUAAUGACAUUUAAGGAUUUUUUCAAAUCAAAUAAUCAAAUUUAUUUUAAUUAAAAAGUGUCCAAUCAAUAACAACAUUCUCAAUUAAACCAAAGUUUUUCCACGAACCCAUCUCGUGGAAAAAAUGCAUGAUGGUUGGAAGAGGACGUCUCACUGCCUCUCCUCAAGGAAAAAUGCAGAUGACAUAACUUUCUUAAGCUAGUGAUACUUUUAUGCAAUUCAAUUUUUUUUUUUUUUUUACUUAAUGAUCAUGAUAAACAUGACUUUCUUAAGCUAGUUGUAGUAUGUAGAAUUGUUUUAAUAAAAAAUUAGAAAUAUAAUUUGCAUCCGAGUUAAUACCUUCACAGAUUAAUAUAAUAGGUUUUAAUAUUUACUUUAAUUAAUAUAUAUAAAAUGAAAGAUAUUAAGAGCUGAAUAAUAUUUUUAAGCCAUAUAUGUUUAUAAAAGUCAUUUCUUUUAAACCAUAUGAUAUGUUUACAUAUUUGCAAUAUGUACGUAUUUUGAAUUUAAUAUUAGUAAUUAUAAAAUUUAUCUAGUUAAUAAAAACUAAUCCACUUUUGUUCUCUUCUCUUUCUUUCACUAUAGUACUUUUUUCUUCUUUUUUUGAACUGUCUUGUCUCUUUUUCUUUUUUGUUUUCCGUCUUUCAAUCCUUCAAGAUUCAAAAUACAUAGCAAUUUACAUUAGGAAUAUUAAUGAAAAUUAAAUAUAAAUAGAAAACAAAUAAAAAAAAAAUGAUAUUCUAGUAAAGCAUUUACAUUUCCAUUGAAAGAUGCAUCAUAUAUUAAUUAAUCUAAGGUCCGUUGUCCAUUAAUUAAUCGGUGGUUGCCUUCUAACACUUUAGAUUUAUUUUUUAUGCUUAAUUAUUUAAUUUAAUUUUUUUUGUAAACUAAAUUGAAAUUAAAGCAUAUUAUCCAUUCCCAAGCUUACGGGGGCAAUGGUCUCAUGGACCAUUCUACUAGCCUAUAUCGUGGAAAAAAUGCAGAUGACAAUAGUUUCACAAGAUAAAAAAAAAGAAGAAAAAAGAGGAAAAAAGAAAAAAGAAAAAAAGACAAAGCUGAUAUGCUACAAUAAAAAACAAAGAAACCACCUAAGAUUUCUUAUCACACCACAAUUUGAUGUCAUCAAAAGAUCUUAAGAGGUCAUUUCCUGUAUAAGUGAAGUUUGAAUACAGAAUAUACAACCAAAUAGCAACUCGAUGAAGAAUGGUGGAGAAACAAUCAAACAAACUUAUAAUUCCCUCCUCAAAAACAAUUUUGUUCCUCAACAACCAAAUACCCCAAGUAGUACUACUGGAGAUUAGUCUCCAAGCUAAUCUUUGGAAUUUACCCUACACUGUUCCAGACCAUUACAUAAGUAGCGAGUUUAGAGUGCUCGACAAACAACAUUAGAUACCCCACUAAUCCAAAAUUUUCAUCCAAACACUCCUAGAAAAUUUACAGUGUGUAAAAAGGUGCUUUGAAGUUUUCAAAUCUGAGCUACAAAAGACACAUGAAGCUUGUGUGGCAAGCAAAACAUUCUGGUGAUGGAAAUAGUCUCUAAAUGUCAUUUUUUUGUCCUUUUUUAUAUUAAUUUUUUUUCCAAUUUAACCAUUCAAUAACAUGUUUGUUGAAAAUUGAGUUUUAUAAUUUGUUUUGAUUUGUUUUAUUUGAAGUUAUUAUGGUUUCAUAACCUGAAUUACAAAUUUAGAAGGUUAACCUGAUUGAGUUGACCCGGGUCGAUCCAAUAUGUUGUCAUCUUAAUAUAUAUUUCUUUAAAAUAUUAUUUUAAACUUUUUUGAGUUAAACUAUAUUCUUACUAUUCGUUUAGGUUGUCUUUCGACCCAUCUAGUUAAUCGGGUCAUAUCGGUUCAACUUUUAAUUUUUUACAAUGAUACAAACCUUAAUCCAGGUUAACUCCUGAGCCAGGUCUAAUAAGGAUUGUUUGGAAAAAUAUUCUGGAAGACCACUAGUAUGCAUAAGUAAAUCACCAGGAAAUUAAUUACUGCAUGGUGUUUAAAAAUCAAAAUGGCACACAAUAAGUCAAGCAUCAGCGUUUAUGACCUUUCUUAUCCAGUAAUGCUAUAAAGAAGAGAGAGUGGUAUAUCCACUUUCUCAUCAAUUACGACAAUAAUUGACUCCCAGUCAAUACGGUCCACGCAAAUUGUUUGGUGAGGUUUACAUGCCAACAAAACUAAUUUGAAUAUUUUUAAUGUGGGUAAAACUAUUAAAUGUUGUAGUGAGGUAAUAUUAUGUUUUCUUUAUUUUGAGAUAAAAAAAUACAUUAUAUUUAGAAAGGUUUCGGAUUAAUUAAAUAGGUUAUGAAAAUAUAAUUGCUUAGUGGUAUAGAUCAUGAAAAUAUGAUUGCCUAGUGGUUGUUUAAUGGUAUAGAAGUAUUAGGUUAACAAUUAGACAACAAAGUUAGAAGCUGUUAGUUUAAGUAUUUUACAGGGGCUACUGUUUGAUCCAAACAAUGAUUUGAAUAGAUACAGUUUUUUACCCAAAUUUCAUACAUAGGAAAAGCUUGUUCUCUCUGGUUUUUAAUACCAUAAACGGUGCAUUAAUCCAGUUUUCAUAGAAAUAGCUAUGAUGAAAAUAGUAAAGAAUACGUGGACUAUCUGUCAAUAAUGCCCAGGAAUAAUUUCGGGGAUUUUUAUAAAUUAUAUAAAAGGAAUUGUUAUCUGAAUUAUAUAUGUGGAUGAAAAGGUAAUUGAGACUAAUUUACAACCCAAAAAGCAUAAUAGAAUUCUAAAUGUUCUAGGAGCUAUGAUUAGUUUAUUAGGUAGCAUGUAGUUAACAAAUUAUUGUAGUUAAGUGUUGGAAGGAUUUUAACAGGUUAUAUGCUUGCGAAUAGGUUUCUUGAGCUAAGAUUUCAGACCAGGCAAAGUAUAGAGAAGUUAGUAGCAGCAAGCAAGAACCCUGAACUUACAAACCACACCAAUAUAAAAAAUGUGAGAAAUCAUUAGCAAAAAGUAAAAACAAAUAAUGACAUAAGCAAGUGUCGGUCAAGUAAUAUACAGCAUCAAAAUACACAGACAUCAAAUAGUAAUUUUCUUGAACUGGAAGAACCUUUCAUUUAUGGCUAUGUUCCAAGAUAUAUAAGUGAAUUAGUUGCAAAACAGGGGAGUCUCUGUGAAAACAUUACAAUAGCAUUUACUCCGAGUAAGAACACCUCCAUGCAUGUGCUGUAAUUGACAAAGAAAAAAAGAGAAAUCCUUUCAAUUUAUGAAAAUGCAAUGAGUUAACUUUAUCUCACACUGCAAUAUAUACUCUACAGUAUUCAUGUAUGAAAACAUUUGAACGGGAAUAAAUAAAAUAAUUCAUCAAACAAUAUGAGAGUUGUUUGGAAAAAGAUUCUGGAAGAGCACCAAUAUGCACAAGGAAAUCACCAGGAAAUUACUGCAUGGUUGUGUUUAAAAAUCAAAAGGGCACAUAGCAAGUCUAGCAUCCGCGUUCACAACCUUUUAAUGCUGUAACUCAUCUUCGCCAGUACUGCUAUAAAGAAGAGAAAGUGAUAUAUCCACUUUCUAAUCAAUUACUUUAGAUUUGUGGAAGAUAUGAUACAAGAGAAAGUGGUAUAUCCACACUCUAUAAUGGGUGGCAAGCUCCUUGCUUUUCACGUGAUGAUGCCCCCCUCUUUCUUUCUUUCUUUUUUUUUUUUUUUUUUAAAUCCCUUUUAUGCUUAAAAUCCACCCACUAAGAGCUUGUUUGUCAGUGUGGUUGUGAUUGCUUUUCAAAUAAUUUUUCGUGCCAAAAUACAUGUCAAUGAUAUUUUUUUAUUUUAAAAAAAUUAUUUUUGACAUCAGCACAUCAAAAUGAUUUGAAAUCACUAAAAACAUAUUAAUUUGAAGUUAAUAAAAAAACAAAAUAAAUUUAAAUUUUUUAAAAAACACUUUUAAAACGCAAAAACAAACAGUCCCUAAGGGGUCGGUGAAGUGGCCGCUAACAACAACCCAGAUAAGAUGUUGCUUGUUCUUACAGGGAGAGGAAUCCCAGCUCGAGACAGCAGAAGGGAGAUCGUUUCCCUACAUCUUCAUCAUUAGAGCACAGCAAUAACUCAAAGCUCUACCAUGUCACCAUCGCUUUUUUGAUUGCUAUCUUCGGUUGUUAUACCUACAAAUCCAAGAACAAUAGACAACUUAAACGUUAAUCUUAUUAUUUUCUUUGGAGUUUUUUUUUUCUUUUGCAAAAUAGCACCUAGAAAAAAACAAUAAUACAAUUCAAAAUUUAUUUAAAGAAAUAAUAUAUCCACUUUCUCAUCAAUUACUUAAGAUUUGUGGAAGAUAUGAAUGAUACAAGAGAUAAGAAAAUGAUUGCUAUUAUCGACAAUUUCUCUGUUAUAUAUAUAUAUAUAUAUAUAUAUAUAUAUUAUGCGGAGUUUCAUCCUUUCCAUUAGAUAAUAAAUAAUAUUGUAUAUAUUCUUUUUUUAGAAGUAGCUCAUUUGCACACCCUUGUUGUAGUCUUCUAUUCAAUUUCACACCAGAGUGUAAUAUAAAAAAACUUUUGAAAAGUAUUUUAUUUUCUUUCCAUUCACCCCAGCACUACGACAAUAAUUGACUCCCAGUCAAUAAGGCACAUAAAUCAUUUGAAUAUUUUUCCCAACCUGGCGAAUAGAUUAUGUGCUAAACAAUAAAAUAAUAUUGAAAUCCAAAAAUAUUCCAAAAAUAAAUGAAAUAAAGAAAACAUCUGCACAACAUAGAAUAUGCAGAUAAAGUCAUGGAAAUGGCCAAAGUGUAGUAUAAAUAGGACCUCUAUGGUUGCCCAAAGGCACAUCACAAACAACAAUAUUCUACUUAGUAGUUCAUAGAAUAUUAUCUAAGAUGAUGAUGAAAAGAAUUGGGGCUUGGAUCAUGUUGCUAGCAUUGUUGACUCUGGUUGACGAAUGGCAUGGUCGUUGUUAUGGAUGUUCGGAGGAAGAGAGGAUUGGUCUCUUGGAGAUCCAAUCUUUGAUCGACCCAUAUCGCAUUUACUUGCGAGAUUGGGUGGACGGUAGUAAUUGUUGUGAGUGGCGUGAGAUCGAGUGUGAUAACACUACAAGGCGAGUGAUCCAACUCUCUCUUCGUGGAGCAGGGUAUCCAACUUUCUCUUUUAGUGAUUUCAGCGAUUGGGUUCUCAACGCAUCUUUGUUUCAGCCUUUUAAAGAAUUGCAAAGUCUUUCUUUGACACGGGCUGGAUUGGUUGGUUGCAUGGAGAAUGAAGGUUAGUUCAAUGUUUCUGCACUUAAUUAUAAUCAUAAAAUAAAUGAAGGUCGGUUGGUGUUUAAUGUCAUUUAUCUUGCUUUGAUGAUUCCCUUCGAUCCAGGCUUCCAAGUCCUAUCAUCAAAACUGAGCAAUCUUGACCUGAGUAUCAAUCAAUUUAAUGAUAAAAGCAUUUUGUCAUGUUUCAAUGGUAACCUUUCCACUCUCGAAUCUUUGGAUCUAUCAUUUAAUGAGUUGACAGCUGGAUCAGGUAGCUUCUAUGGUAACCUUUUAGUUAUUUAUUUAGCUUCGAAACAUUUUCUUUUCUCCUUCUCAUAUCAUUUUUUUCUACGCAUUUAAUUAUUGCCUUCCAAUAUGCUCUUGAGGAACAUCAUGCAGGUCUCAAGGUCUUGUCAUCAAGGUUGAAAAAGCUGGAGAACCUUGAUCUAAGUGGGAAUCAAUACAACGAUAGCAUUUUUCCAUCUCUAACUGGAUUUUCAUCCCUCAAGUCUUUGGAUCUAUCGGCUAAUGAGUUGACAGGAUCAGGUAUAAUACACAGUUUCUACCAAAAUGCUCACAUGACAUUCUCUUAAUUAUAUUGUUACUUUAUCAACAAAAAUGAGGACUUUAUAUCUAUUUAAUAAAAACUAUCAAAAAAACUCUCUAAUACAAAUCUCUAGACAGCCAAUGAGAGACUGCCGAUUUCUUUAUUAGAAAAACUCUCGACUGUUUUAUCAAUAAAGAGAACAACAUAAAACCCACAUUUAAUUCUACAACUAAAUAUAUAUGUAUAAUUUGAGAAUUAUAUAUCUUGUAGGUUUUCAACUCCAACCGAUGAGGCUGGGAAAGUUAGAGAACCUUGACCUGAGUGGCAAUCAAUUGAACAGCAGUAUCUUAUCAAUUCUGAGUGGGCUUUCAUCCCUCAAGUCUUUGGAUCUAUCACAUAAUAAGUUGACAGGAUCUAUCAAUAGUAAGUUACAUUCUCUUUAUCAAGAAAACAUCAAUUGAACAACAACAUCUCGUCAAUUCUAAUUAUAUUUAGUUUCUAUAUAUUAUGCAUAUCGUGAGCUCAUAAUUAUGACUUACUCUUAGAAACAACUCCUUCCUUAAUUUAUGCACUGUAUAUUUUUUUAUGUAUAAUUUGACAAUUAUAUAUCUUGUAGGUUUUCAACUCCAACCGGUGAGGCUGGGAAUGCUGGAGAACCUUGAUCUAAGUUGGAAUCAAUGCAAUGAUAGCAUUUUUCCUUCUCUUACUGGAUUUUCAUCCCUCAAGUCUUUGGAUCUGUCAGGCAAUGAGCUGACAGGAUCAGGUAUAAUACACAGUUUCUACCUAAAUGCUUCACAUGACAUUCUCUUAAUUAUAUUGUUUCUUUAUCAACAAAAAUGAGGACGACUUUAUAUCAAGAAAAGAGGCACUUGGAAUUAGGUCCAAGAGGCAUAUAUUUUAUUCUUAUUUUGGCCCUUUUAUGCCAAAAGUGUUGUAAUAUUUAGAUUAAAUUAGCAAUCAGAAGUUCACUUCAAAACUCUCCUAUAAAUAUAUGUUUUAUAUUUAUCUUUUUAAAUAAAUAUAUUUUCAUAUAUGUUUUUUCUGUCUUGAGAUACUUAGUCAAACACAACUCUUAAGUAUUUUUUUUAAUGAAUUUGAGUUUGAAUGGGUUUUGAAUAACAUAAUAAGAAGCUCUCUCCUAGAAUAUUAUAAUUAAGAAAAUUAUAAUUAUUAAAACUUGGAUGUUAACAUCAAUUAAAAAAAACUAUCCAAUACAAAUCACUCCUGUUUUAUCAAUAAAGAGAACAACAUAAAACCCACACAUUUGAUAUGUAAUUCUUGUUUGUGGCCAUUUAUUAUUUCCUCUCUUUUUAACCAUGGUUUUAUAUUAUUUUGGACCUUUUUUUAAUCAAAAUAUUAUUCUGCGGUGGAGGGAUAUAUUGCCUUAUGGUCGUGGUGAAUGGUGAAAUAUUUGGAGUUUGAGAAAUAAAACGUGAAAAAGUUUAUAAUUCUUUAAUGCCAUGGAUAAAAUUGGGAAAGUACUUGCUAGAAAACAAAGGCAGUUAGGAACAAAUUAUAAUUACUAAAUUAGUGACAACUAAACAUCUUACUAACUAAAUAGAUAAAGGAAUUAAGUUACGAUUAUUAUUCUUGUUUUAAUUACCGAUGAGUUCUUAAUUAUAAGUUUCUUUAUCUUGUUUUGUAAGUCUAUCAUAACUUAGCUUCCAUCUUUUUAAUUAUAAUUUGAGAAUCAUAUAUCAAUUGAACAACAACAUCUCAUCAUUCUAAUUAUCUUUAGUUUCUAUCUAUUAUGCAUAUCAUGAGCUCAUAAUUAUGACUUACUUUUAGAAACAACUCUCUUGCAGGUUUUGAGAUCAUAUCAUCACAUUUGAGGAAACUCGAGAACCUUGACCUGAGCUAUAAUACAUUCACCAACACCAUUUUCUCACAUCUGCGUGGACUUUCUUCUCUCAAGUCUUUAAAGCUAUCAUAUAAUGAGUUGAUAGGAUCGACGAUUGUCGAUGGUAAAGUUCUGUUAUUUACAAUACCUUUUGAAAUCUCUAGAUUUUUCUGGCAAUUUGUUGGUUCUAUCCAAAAAUCAUCUCUCUAUUCAAUAUCAGUUCUCUCAAGGAUACUAAUUUAAGUCUUAAUUACUAUUAUUGAAUGGAAUGGCUAUUCUGUACCACCACUAUUUUCAUCAUAUCUCUUCUUCUUUCUUUCUUUUUAACAGGGACUUUCUUCAAUUCUAGCACCCUUGAAGAAUUGCAUCUAGCUAAUACUUCUCUCCCAAUAAACUUUCUCCAGAACAUUGGAGCAUUGUCUGCUCUUAAAAUUUUGUCUGUUACUGAAUGUGACCUUCAUGGCACCCUACCCACUCAAGGUAAAUUAACAACUCUCCAUCCUAAGUGUUUUGGACUACUUGGAAUUUUUUAGUUGAAUAGAAGAUUCUUUCAACACUAUUUUGACUGUUUCGAGAUAAAUUGUACAGGUUGGUGUGAAUUGAAGAAUCUGAAGCAGUUAGAUCUCGCUAGAAAUAAUUUAGGAGGUUCUCUCCCAGAUUGUUUGGGUAACUUGUCAUCUCUACAACUAUUAGAUAUUUCUGAAAACCAUUUUAUUGGAAAUAUUGCCUCCAGUCCUCUUACCAACAUCCUAUCCCUUGAAUUCCUUUCACUAUCAAAUAACCUCUUUGAAGUUCCCAUUUCAAUGAAGCCUUUUAUGAACCACUCAAGCCUCAAGUUCUUCUCCAAUGAGAACAACAUACUAGUAACAGAACCUGCUGCCUUUGAUCAUUUGAUUCCAAAGUUCCAACUAGUCUUUCUAAGCUUGUCAAAAACAACGGAAGCAUUCCAUGUAGAAAUUCCCGACUUCCUCUAUUACCAAUACAACUUAAGAGUCCUUGAUCUCUCCCACAACAUCACCGGAAUGUUUCCAUCAUGGUUGCUUAAGAACAAUACACGAUUGGAGCAACUAUAUCUGAGUGACAACUCCUUUGUUGGUACUUUGCAGUUGCAAGAUCACCCAUAUCCGAAUAUGGCCAAUUUAGAUAUAUCCAACAACAACAUGAAUGGUCAAAUUCCAAAAGAUAUUUGUUUGAUCUUUCCAAAUCUGAGGAUUUUAAGGAUGGCUAAGAAUGGAUUCACAGGUUGUAUUCCUUCUUGUUUAGGAAAUAUUAGCCUUUUAAAUUUAGAUUUAUCCAACAAUCAAUUGUCUACAGUAAAACUAGAACAACUAACAACAAUACAUUAUCUUAAUCUAAGUGGGAACAACUUUUGGGGUCAGAUAUCAGAUUUUCCAUUACAUGGGCGGAAAGCGUGUAGUGUAUUGGAUUUGAGUAAUAAUCAAUUUUCAGGCAUGCUUCCAAGAUGGUUCGUCAAUUCUACAAGCCUUAAAAUACUUGAUUUGUCCAAAAACCAUUUUAAGGGUCCGAUCCCAAGAGACUUUUGCAAGCUUGACAAGCUUGAAUAUUUGGACCUUUCUAAGAACAACUUGUCUGGAUAUAUACCAUCUUGUUUCAGUCCACCGUCUCUAAACCAUGUGCAUCUAUCCGAAAAUAGAUUGAACGGUCCAUUAACAUAUGGAUUUUAUAACAGCUCUUUCCUGGUUACGAUGGAUCUUCGAGAUAACAGCUUCACCGGCUCCAUUCCAAAUUGGAUUGGCAAUCGUUCAUCAUUGAGUUUUCUUCUUCUAAGGGCUAAUCACUUUGAUGGUGAGCUCCCUGUUGAGUUAUGCUUGUUAGAAGAAUUAAGCAUUUUGGAUGUUUCACAAAACCAGCUUUCUGGUCCACUACCCUCCUGUUUGGGCAAUCUUACUUUCAAGGAAAGUUUCCGGAAAGUGUACGUUCUCAUAUUUUUGUAUUAAGGUCCAUAGCAGAUGCAUAUUAUGAAACAAUGGGUCCACCACUAGUGGAUAGUAUUGAUAGCUUGGAAAAGCAUUCUAUGCCUGACUUUGAAGAAGUGAUAGAAUUUACAACUAAAAAUAUGUAUUAUGGUUACAAGGGGACAGUUCUUAGCUAUAUGUAUGGUAUUGAUCUCUCGAAUAACAGCUUUGUAGGAGCAAUCCCACCAGAAUUUGGAAACUUAAGUGAGAUACUGUCAUUAAACUUAUCACACAACAAUCUCACUGGAUCUAUCCCUGCAACAUUCUCAAACCUAAAGCAUAUUGAGAGUUUGGAUCUUUCUUACAACAACUUGAAUGGUGCCAUCCCUCCACAACUUACUGAAAUUACCACACUUGAAGUUUUUAGUGUGGCGCACAAUAACUUGUCAGGCAAGACACCCGAGAGAAAAUUUCAGUUUGGGACCUUCGAUGAAAGCUGUUACGAAGGAAAUCCUUUCUUGUGUGGACCUCCAUUGCGAAACAAUUGUAGCGAGGAAUCAGUGCCAUCACAGCCAGUGCCUGAUGAUGAACAAGGAGAUGAUGGUUUCAUAGACAUGGAGUUUUUCUACAUCAGUUUCGGUGUAUGUUACACAGUUGUGGUGAUGACAAUUGCAGCAGUUCUCUACAUCAAUCCAUAUUGGCGACGCAGGUGGUUGUACUUCAUCGAAGACUGCAUAGAUACUUGCUACUAUUUUGUGGUGGCUAGUUUUCGCAAGUUCUCCAACUUCAGAAGGUGAAUUUGUUACUGGGGAGAUGGUCGUUCCUUGUUUGUGAUGAUUGUUUGUCUAGCUAUUGGUAAUUUGUAGUGUACUGUCUCUAAGCUCAGCCUUUCUAUUUGAUUAGUUAUUUGGGCUAAAUAUAUAAGCUGGACUUCUCAUUCCUGAAUCAUUAGGAAGGAAACUGAUUUGGAUUGGUCAUUUACUCGAGUGUGAUUACUCUUUCAACUCUCAAGACUUGUCUGAAAAUAAAUUGCCAAAACCACUACUAAAGUAUAAACAAAAUAUUCUAUGCCUUUGUUUCAAGGGCGACCCCACCUCAGUUAUUCAAUCAAAGCAUUGAAAUCGGAGCAAGAAGAUCCACCUUCUUCAACAGCCUUCCUGGCCGUUUCUUUGCUCUGCUACUCAUUUCCUCUGCUUCUUCACCCAUCAUAAUUUGAGUGAUUGCCUUCUCUACAGCUUCACUUUUAACAUGAUCUCCAUGCACUCUAAGCCAUUCCUCAACUCCAGUUUUUAAAACAUCAGUCACCAACUUUUCAUUAUAGAAUUGCUCAGCAAAUAUUGGUCUCCUAAGCACAAAAAAAUAAAAUUGUCCUUGUCAAACAUGCAGCUGUGACUUGAGACAUUCAAAAUUUCAACCUCAUUUUCUAUAAAAUUCAACAAUACUGGAUAUGGUCAUGAUUCAAUGGAAUAAUCCCCACUUAUUUUCUUGAGACCUUUUUCCAUUGAAAUCUUGCAAGACUAUGGCAUACAUGAACUCCAUCUAAUGAACAGUAAAUCAAAGAAAUUACCUUCUGAUAGAUCUCCUCUUGCCAAUCAGCGCCUUUUGCAUGUAGAAUCUAGGGAUGCUACAAAAAUUUCAAUGCAGACAACAAAAUGUUAGAAUUUAAAAGAGUUUGAUAACAAUGCGAGAAGAAAAACAAAAGGUAAGAUGUUUAGAAAUUCAAUGCUCCGCUGCAUUAUAACCUGCUGGAUCCAUGGGGCAGUGGGCAUGGCGUUUUGAGACCUGAUCUCCAUUGAAAGCAUCUCCAGAGAUAUUUUACGUAGAUAAUCAUACUGAAAUCAGAUAUUAAUAACAAAACAUUAGAUCUCAGAGCAAUCCAUGUUACAAGAGGAGGAAAAUGGAUAUAUGCUCUAUCAUUUCAUCUUUUGUGAGGAUAUACUUCUGUUUCCUCUCUUUUUAUUUAAUUAUUUAUGUAUUGAUUUGCUAUUUUCUUUUUGCACACUGCCCUUGUACUUGAGCUUGGUCACUCUAAAUAAAACACUUGUCAAGAGAAUUAACAAAAAGAUGCGAACUCCGAAUCAGCCUUGCAUACAGAGUGAACGGUGAGGAAGUGUACGCACACUACACCCACAUUUGUACAUGCAUAAAUGCACGUGUAUAUUCAUGUCAAGAGAAUAUCAUAAUUAUUGAACCUUGCAUUAGGCAAAUACCUGAUUGGUGGCGGUAGUAUAAAUCUUUUCCUCAAAACGUAUGGCAAAUUUCUUGAGUUCUUGUAAUCCCUCCUGACCAGAAAACAAAAGAUGCCUCUUUAUUGUCUCCAUUCUGCACAUGCAAAUCAUUACGUUUCAUUUUUAAUGACCAGGCAAGUAUAGAGAAGUUAGCAGCAGCGAGCAAGAACCCUGAAUUCAUAAACCACACCAAUAUCAGAAAUGUGUGGAAUCUUUAGCAAAAAGUAAAACAAAUUAUGAGAUAAGCAAGAGUUGGUCAAGUAUUAUAAGACAUCAAAAUACAUAGACAUCCUUUCCCUGUAUUAUUCCAGAGGUACAGAUUAUAGGAGUUUACUUGGCCACCCUUCUGUCUAAAAAUUCUAGCUACGAGCUUCAUAUAUUAGUGACUUAGUUGCAAAGCAGGGGAGUCUGUGAAAACAUUACAAUAGCAUUUGCUCUGAGUAACUUCUACGCAUGUGCUGUAAUUGACAAAGAAAAGAAGAGAAAUCCUUUCAAUAUGAAAAUGCAACGAGUUAACCUUGUCUCACACUGCAAUAUAUACUCUACAGUAUUCAUUGACCAAUGCAAGUGCCAACAGUAGCUGUCUAUAUGAUUUUGGAUGUAGAGAGGUCAACAAAACAUUCAACUUUAUGCUGAGAAACUAGGAAACCAUGCACCAUUGUGGCUAAUUGAUUUUUGUCUGCUGCUUUUCAACUUUAAGAUCACUAUCAUUUCAACCCUGUAGAAGCAUAGAAGGUCCAAAUCCAACACCAUUCAUUUAAGUUCAGUUGCAACUCGAGUUUUAAAUUGAAACAUGUAUGCUCAUAGCAAAAGAUUAACCUUGAAAUUAAAAUCGGAACAAGCUUCAUGCAGCCAUCCAAGAGGUCAUCAUCAAAAGAAGAGAUUACACAAGAAAUUCCAAAAAAAUUACUUCCCAGCACUUUAUGUUCCCUCAAGUUUGCUUCUCGUGAGAACACAUGAAAAGAUGAAACAAAAAAAAAGAGGUGUGUGAUACUUGAUCUUGCCUCAUGGCAAUCCUGCUGAUUUUAAUUAACCCUUUGUCGUUCUCCUUUUCUUUCAUAUAAAUAAAAAUUUACUAUUUUGCAGCACUUGCACAUACAUUUUGUCGACUAUUCUUUUCCGUGAGUCAGGCCGCAAUUGAAUUCUCCAAUCACCCGUGUCCAUGACAGGUUCUCCGCCUGGGACAGUGGGCCAACCAAAAGGAAAAAAAAAAUCAUAUUGCAUGUUAGAAAAGACCCUAAAGAAAAGUCAGGAACGGCAAGAAGAGCAAAAGCACAUCAGACAUGAAAAUGGAAUAUCAGUUUAUUCAGACUUGAAUAGAUUUAAAAGAACUUCGGUCUAAUAUCAUGUACUUUAUUAAAGAAUUCAGCCAAAUAUGGAUGCAUAACAAAUAUACACAACCAUUCAGGUCAAGGUGCUAGGAUCCUUGGUAUUCGGCCAUUCAAAGCAAAGAAUCUUCAUGGUGCUUCUAAACCAAAGAAGCAUUCCCUUCUAAGCAAGUACUUACUGUCAAACCCCACUCCCCUGUUGAAUAUUAAACUCAAUCCAGAAGCUCCUAGAAGGUCAAGGAAGUCAACUAGCCACCAGCCACCAGCCGCCAACCAGCCAUCAGCCGCAGCCGCCAGCCACCAGCCGCCACAGCCGCCAGCCGCCUUCACACUUGAAGGUUGAAAAUUCUUGUUUUGAAUUCGUGUAUAAAUAGAGUGUCCAGCUUAUGUUAUUUGUGUGGAGAGAAUUGAGAGAAACACUAGAAAAAAAAUAGAGAAAGAAUAAAUAUUUACUUCUCUGAAAGAAUAAAUAUUGUAGGGAGCAAAUAGUGUAAAUAGAAAGAGGAAAAUACCACAUCCCCAAAAGAAUAAAGAAAUAAGAAGAAGACAAAACAAAGUCAUAAAACGAGGCCUUUCAAUCCCCAAUGAAUAUCAGCAGACUAAAUACCACAGCACAAAUAGAAGAUAAAGAGGCCAGAAACACUAACCCAUCCCAAAGAGAUUGUCUAGGAUGUUUUAAUAAAGGAAAGAAGAAGAAGAAAACAACGAGCAUUAACAAUGAAUAUUUCAUGUUAUCAUCAACUCUAAAGAGCAGACUGAUAAGAAUCAACUUAACAAAUUUACAGGCACAUCUUUCUUUGAACAGACAACACAAUAACCCUGACCAUACUACAUGCUCCACCCACAGUAGAAUCGGCUGAUUGCGCCUUUCUUCGAGUUGCGUUCACGAGCAGCGAUUUCAUCGAUCCGAUUAUAUAUCUUUUUAAUUUACUUAUUAAAAUAGAAUUUAUCUCUCUGGAUAAGAAUUUCAGUUAAAUAAAUCAAAACGCAGACGUAAAUUUUAAAAAUAAAAAACAUAAUAGAAAAGGAAGCACCUGGUGGAGAUUUGAAGACUUAUUGGUUGAGGUGGCGGCGGUUUCCUAGAGCGGAGGAGGGAAAGAGAGCUCAGGUGGAGAGAGGUGAGGAAUGUCGGACCAAAGUGAACAGAGCUUGACAGAUGACUUUCUGUUUUAAUAUGAAUAUUCUAGUUAACUUACAUAUACCUCUAAUAAUUUUACAAACCCUAAAUUUCACAAUCAUAUAAAUAUUUAUAUAAAUAUCUAAAAAAAUUUAAUACUAAAAUUAGUGAUAGAUUCGCUAACAAACUAAAAGAAAUGUAUUCACUGUGCUGCUUUACUGUUCAUAACUAACAAACUAAAACUAAAACUAAAAGAAUUAUAUAUAUAUAUAUAUAUAUAUAAGAGUGCUCAUUAAAACACGGUGCACUGUGUGUGAAUCCUGUGGCUUCACAGUCUUCACCGCGCUUCCUCUCUGUUUUUCGCCUUUCUUCUCGCGCGGUGGGUGUCCCGCGCUUUCUUCUCGGCUGCUUAGGCUCCCUGGCGUCUUUUCAUCGACUUUGUCUGGUGCAUGUUCAGAUUGAGGCGGGGUGCUAGGCGCGCGAGGAGAUGUCAGCCGACGGGUAAUCACCUGCAUCGGCUGGGAUGGCUUCAUUGAAGCUGUCCUCUUGGUCUGUGGCGGGCCUACUCAUCAAUGAAAAAUUUAUUCUAACUGAGACAUUGUUUUUGUUUUUGUAAACUCUUUUCUAUUAUAUUUUUUUUAUCCAAAUUUUUAUAGAAAAUUAAUCAUUGUCUCAAUUUAAUUUUUAUUUUGAUUAUUGAUUUAUAUACAUGAUUUAUAUUAUGUGGAAACUUGAUCAUUAUAGUAAAAAGAAACAAUAAUUGAUUAUAUGUUGAAAUAGAUUUAAAAAACAGUUUAAUUUUAAUAGAAAAAGUAAAGUGUAUAUAUCUUCUGUUAUUUGUGUACUUAUUGUCUUGAUUCUACUGGGAAAUAAAUUUUAUGUUGCAUGGUAUUUUCCUUUGUUGUUGCGUUGAUAGGAAAAAAAAAAACAGAAGAUGGGGAAAAAAAGGUUGCAUAUCUGGAUAAUAAUUACUAGUGAAAUAAUAUAUGUAAAGUGAAAUUAUAGUUUACAAUCUGGUCUCUGAGAAAAUGAAUCUUGUUAUAAAUAAAUUAUAAUUGUAAACACUUGUAAGUUUAGAUAAACUUCUAAUAUUGGUGAUGUAUUGUUACCAAGAAAACAAAUCUGAAAAAAGUAAAAUCUUCAAGUGGUGUAAUUUCUUAGUAUGGAUUCAUCAAGAGCAUUGUAUUUUUCACUUAUAUUAGUAAAAGAGUACAAUACUCAAAUAUAAUUAGUACUUGAGGUGUGGAUGUAGACUUACCAAACCAUCUUACCAAACCAUCGUAGAAAUUAAGUUUGCAAUCUCUCUUUUCUUAUCUAUUUACUUUUAGUACUUCAAUUAUAUUGUUGGUUAUUGUGUUAUAUGUGUUUAGUGUGUUUAUUUGCAUUAUUUUGAUAUAAUUAAUGCAACACCUAAUCCAUCCCUCUUAGAUGCUAUUGUUGUUUUAAUUAUCAAUCGUAUUUAUUUUUUAUCAUAACUUUAGAAGAGUGCAUAAUGUUUUCUUAUGUUGAUGUCGAAAGAAAAAUAUUUAUAAUUAUUUGUAUUGUUAUAGUUUCUAUUGAAAAUUACAUUGUGUCUCAUAGAAAAACAAAUAAAUAAAUAUAUAAUGGCAAAGUUAAAUUGUUUUUUGCAAAAUUAGUGUGUUAAAUUUUUGUGAUUCAUUUUAAUUAAUAUUAUUUGAGAUUAUAUAAAUGUGAUAUAUAAUUGCAAAGUUAAUUUUAUUAUUGAGAUAAUAGAUGGAUAAAACUAUUGUUAAUGAUUUCAAUGUACUUGUUAACCUAGUAAUCUUUGUGGUAUAGAUGGCAAACCCGAUUUCUAAACAUUUUUCAUGCGGGGAAAAAACCAAAAUAAUUGGAGACACAAUGUAAUUUUCAAAUAUAAAGCAUGAUGAAUUAAAUUCUCUCAAGAUUCCUAAUGGUAGUGGUGUCUGCAAAAAGAAGUUCAAAGAAACUUGUUUUGUUUGUAAAAAGCAAAGACAUCAUUGUAUUAUCACUGUAAAGGAAAAAAAUACACAAAGCAAUAUUAAGAAAUUAUAUUAUGAAUAAAACACCUUAUAAGAAAUUGAGCAAGAUAUCGUAUGAGUUGUUGAAUGUUCAAUCAUCAUCCUAUAAAUACAUUAAAGUGUGGGAGUGUCUAGAAAAAAUUACAUUGCUCCACCAAAAAAAUUUAAAAAUAUAGAUUGUAUUAUAUAAGAUAUGAAACUAUAUUUGAAGGGUAUAGCGAUAGUAAUUAGAUAUCCAAUAUUAAAGAUUCAAAAUCCACAAAUAGAUUUAUCUUUGUUAUCGGAGAAGCUAUAGCCUCUUGAAAAUUCUUUAAACAAACAUGCAUAUCCGUAUCCAUGAAGGAAUUUGAGUUUACAACUUUAGAUAAAGGAAAGAAGUAGAAUAACUUCUAAAACCUUAUUGAGGAUAUUCGAAUUUACAAUUGAAAGGGCAUAAUAUAUAUAACUGCAAGUACUGACAUAAUUGUCAAUAUUGUAAGAUAGUUGAUCUAAAAUGAGAUUAUUUUUAUUGACCAUAUAAAGUUAAAUGAUAAUAUCAUGGAUUCGCUAAUAAAAUGCUUAACAAUAGAGCAAGUCAAUAAUCAUCGAGGGGAAUGAGAUUAAGACACAGUUCAAUGAAUUGUCAUGAUAGCGACCCAGCCUAGUUUAUUGGAGAUCCCAAAUUUAGGUUCAAAGAGGCAACCAAAUCAUGUGUCAAUUCAAUAAUAUCCCUCUUACUCAUUCAUAUGAUAUAAAGUGUUAUUUGCAACGAAAAUAGGAUAAGCUAAGCUUUUAAUGACUUUUAUAGCUUGAGAAAUUCAAGUGAGGUAUUACAUGGUACUCUUAAUAAGAAUCACCUAUGUGAGUAUGAAACAAGGCCACUUCUAUGAGAAUUGAAAAUGCAAAUUCUCUAACGCUCUUUGAAAUCAAGACAUAUUUGAGGCUAAAAUGAACACAACCGUGAGAACCAAAAUUAUAAGAAAAUAAACUGUGUAAUCUCUAUUAUCUGGUUUCACACAAAAGGUUAAACAACUCAAGACAUCAUGUUCGCUAGUUAGCCAAGUGAAUCCAAUAGUUUUAAUUAUGGAAGGUUCAAGGCUAAAAACUAUCUUGUUGGAUGCAAUGACUUUUCGCUACUAGUCUCUAUUUAUUUGCCUACUUUGUAUUUUAUUCAGAUCAAACAAUUUUUAUCAUGUGGGGGGAUUGUUAGGGUAUGAAUGAAAAGUCGUGUACUUUUAAAUUAGAAAGUUGUAACCUUUUAUCUUAAAAGCUAUGUUAAAAUUAAAUGUCAGAAUUACCUAUAAAAAAGACACAAUUCUGAUAUGAUUUUGAUAAUGAAGAAACUUCUAGUCUUUUUAAAACUCUUCUCUUUUACAUUUUUUCAGUCAAAAUUCUUAUAGAGAGUAACAUGCAAAUUGUGGUUUGUCAUUUAUUCUUGGUUGUGCUAUCAAGAAUUAGAGAUUGAGUAAGCUUGAAAAAUAAUAUUACAAUCACAUUGCUAGCACCAAAGAGCAGGUAAUAAAUUGUUUUAUGAUAAUUUAUCGUCAAUUUAUUGAUUUUAAUUUGUGACUAUCCGUACAAAAUAGAUCUCAUAGACCUAUUAAAAUUGAAAAUGGUAAUGAGAUUUCUAAAACUAUAAGUGAAUAUAUGGAAAAUAUUCAAAAAAUUACUUUUUAUGAAUGUUAAAGCCAUGAAUAUUUUAUAUUAUACAUUGGGUAAAAGUGAAUUUGAUAGAACUAUAUUAUACAAAAACGCUUAGAGAUAUAUAGCAUGUUUUACAAGUAAUUCAUGAAGGAACUAAGAAGUCAAAAAAUUUAAAAUUGACAUGUUAAUUCAUACUAAAAUAACUAAUAGUUUAUUAGUUUGGAUGUUUUUAGUAAUGCUGAAAUUAUAGAGAAUUGAUCAUUAAGUUGAUUUUUUAAUAUGCGUAGAAAUCAGAUCAGUAUAAAUUUAAUAAACUAUUUAAAGUUUUCCAUUUCUUUAUAAAAAAAAUAUUUCUUGUGCUUGGGAACACAUCUUUUUGGCUUUAGAGAUGAUAGAAAGCAUUGCUUUUAAAGGCGACAUUGCUCUUUAUGGUUUUUUCGACAUGGGUUUCCUUAAAAAAGUUUUAGUUUUUGCUUGUUUAUUUAUGUUGCCCAUCCAUAUAGAUAUUACAAUAGGUUUUUAUAGAGGUAACUUGGUGAGGAAAAAACUUCGUGCCACGAAAAUAAGAGGCUGGAGUUUUAUUUUGCUUUAGAUUCUUCCCUUAAUUCCAGCCGUGGUUUGUUUUCAGUUCUUUGGUCUUUCUUUUCAUUAGUCUUUGAUUUUUGUUGGAUUCUUGCUUUGUGUUAGGUUGUACGAGGAUUUUCCUUUUAAAAAAAAAAAAACAUCUUGUGUUUAGGAACACAGCUUUGUACCUUUGGAGAUGAUAGAAGGCUUUGAUUUCGAAGACAACACUUUUUAAAAAAGUUUUUUCGACUUGGGUUUCCCUGAAAAAAUGUUUUCUUUUUGCAUGUUUGUUUGUGUUGGUCAUACAUGUGUCGCAGCAAGUCUUUGUAGAGGUCACUUGAGGAAAAAAAAUGUCAGGAAAAACAGAGGCUGAAAUGUUCUUACCUCAGUUUCAACCAUUGUUUGCCUGUAGGUUGAGGUUGAUAAGUUGUGUGUGUUUUUAGAUGGAUCUGAAUCUUUGUAUUGCUUUUACGUACGAAGCACGAAUUGAACAUCUUGCAGUGGGGCUGUCCAGAUUUUUCAAUAUGGUUGAGUUCAUUCUUAGCCAUGUAAAACCUCUUCGUUGUAGAAAAUUAACAUGAUUAAGUAUCAGGGAGUUUUUUUCUAGGUCGUUGUUGUUGCUGUUGUUAGACAAAUGUUGUCGUUUAUAGACCUUUUCAGUCCUCAAAAUUUAUAAUAUGGUCAUGAAUGGCAUAAGAUGUUUGUUCAUCUUUUUUUAAGAUUCUGAAAAGUAAAUAUAUGCUUCUCCGUUAUCAUUGCAAUGUUAUUUCACUCUUACAAAUAUUUUAGCAAAUUAAGUGCCACAUCUAAUUAGAUGUUUCCCUAUCAUCAAAACCCUUGCUAAAUUUGAUGCUUGGAUCCUUACGAGCUUAGGGUUUGCUUUCUCCCCUUUCAUUUUAAACUUUAUAUUCAUCUUUUAACUGUUUUUAUCUUACCUUUACUUAAUCAUGUUAUAACAUGAAGAGGAUGUCGAUAACUUCCUCUUAGUUGGCGAGUCUGUGGAGAACUUCUUUGGCUCAUCAGCACAACAUUAUGUGUACGUAAGAGAGUACAAUAAUCCUUCCAUUAUCAAACCUCUGAUGAUAGCAAAGCUUAACAAAACCAUGAUUUCUUAGCUUAGAUUUGACGUGUUCAUACUUGGCAUUAAUUAAUGGCUGCAAGAUUGUCGUUUCCAAUGUCUUUAAAAAUGUCGCUGAAAACAAUCUCGAUAGGCUGCCUCAACAGUGAGGACCAUCUGGAGCAGCUGCUGCACCAGACAUCCACUGCUUCGUGUUAGGAUACUGGCAUGCAAACCCGACAAGACAAAAGGUAAGGGACAAGAUAAAAUGAGAAGUGACACACAAGAAUUUACAUGGUUCACCCAAUUAGGCUACGUCCACGGGCAAGUAUAGAAGGAUUUUACUAGUAAUGUGGGAAUUACAACCUCUCUCAAAUAAUAGGAGAACAACUAAGAAUCUCUCUAUUACUAGGAGAAAACACCUCACUUACUCUCUCACAAAUACCUCACAAUUUUGUGGGAUUACUUUCCCUCUCUCACUCUUCUCUUCCUCUCUUGUUUCUCUCUUGUGGUGUGUUUUCAAUGCUUGGAUGCAUUGCCUAUUUAUAGGCAAGCAUCCAUGCAAGAGCAAGUGGCCAAGUUGGUUAAGGCACCUCCACCAAGGUAGGCACCUCCACCCAAGGUAGGCACCUCCACCAAGGUAGGCACCUCCACCUAUCUUCACAUUCUCCCACUUGAAGACUUUGAUGAUUGAAUCAAGUCUUCACACUUCAUCAUUUGUGAUUCUUCUAUCCUUUCAAUACUUGCCAUCUUUAUGCUGCUUACGUUUCUGCUAGGCCACAAGAGGAUCUGCACCAUAUAUACUUAUCAGUGUUGACUGGUUUGGUUAAAGCAUCUGCUGGGUUUUCCUUUGUGUGAACCUUCUGAAAAUCCACACUUCCAUCUUCCACCACUUCGCGAACAAAGUGAUACUGAACAUCUAUAUGUUUUGUUCUUGAAUGAAACGCUGGAUUCCUUGCAAUAUGCAAGGCACUCUGACUAUCACAAUACACAAGAAUCUUCUCUUGUUUGUGCCCGAGCUCCUCCAUAAGUUUCUUCAGCCAUAUUGCUUCUUUACAAGCUUGUCUAGCUACCAUAUACUCAGCUUCUGUUGUGGAUAACGCUACAACAGUCUGAAGUUUAGAGACCCAGCUCACAGCUCCUCCUGCAAUUAUGAACACAUAGCCUGUAGUGGAUUUUCUUUUCUCAAGGUCACCAGCAAAAUCUGAGUCAACAUAACCUCUGAUAGUAAAUUCUGAUCCUCCAUAACAUAAUGCGGCAUCUGAGGUACCCUUGAUGUAUCUCAAGAUCCUCUUAAUAGUAUUCCAAUGCUCUCUACCAGGAUUUGACAUGUAUCGACUAGCUGCUCCCACUGCUUGUGCAAUGUCUGGUCUUGUACAUAUCAUGGCAAACAUUAAACUUCCCACUGCUGAUGCAUACGGUACUCGAGACAUCUCCAUCCUCUCUGCUUCAUUGCUAGGAGACAUACUUGAGGAUAAUUUGAAGUUAACAGGAAGUGGGGUGGAAAUUGGCUUACAAUCUUGCAUGUUGAAGCGUCGCAAGAUCUUCUUUAAAUAAUUCUUCUGAGAAAGCCAAAUCUUCCUCUUACUUCUGUCUCGGUGAAUUUGCAUCCCUAGAAUCUUGUUUGCUGGUCCCAAGUCCUUCAUAUCAAACUCCCUAGCCAACUGUGCCUUCAAUUCUUGGACUCGAUCUUUGUUGGGGCCUAUUACCAACAUGUCAUCCACGUACAACAACAGAAUGAUGAAAACAUCAUUUUCUUCAAACCUCUUGUAAUACGUACAAUGGUCUGAACUGAGUCUGUUGUACCCAAGGCUAAUUAUGAAGGAAUCAAAUCUCUUGUACCAACACCUCGGCGCCUGUUUGAGACCGUAUAGAGAUUUGUUCAACCUGCAAACCAAGUUCUCUUUGCCUGUUUCAGCAAAACCCUCUGGUUGGAGCAUAUAAAUUUCUUCUUCAAGUUCUCCAUGAAGAAAUGCAGUUUUCACAUCUAACUGCUCUAAGUGAAGAUCAAAUAUAGCACACAUUGCCAAGACUACUCUGAUUGUAGUAAGUCGUACCACCGGAGAAAAUAUCUCAUUAAAGUCUAUUCCUUCUUUCUGAGCAUAUCCUUUCACCACCAAUCUUGCACGAUACCGCUCCACUUGAUCAUUGCCAUCACGCUUUAUCUUGUAAACCCAUUUGUUGCCAAUGGCCUUUCUUCCUUGUGGUAGCGGAACAAGAUCCCAAGUGUUAUUCUUGUGCAGAGCUUCAAUCUCCUCUUGCAUUGCUGUCAUCCACAUAGAUACAUCUGUGCUUUUGAUAGCCUCAUGGAAAGUUGAUGGCUCUCCAUCCUCUGUUAGAAGACAGUAUGCAAAUUGCUCUCAGUAACAUAUUCUGAGUGCCAAGCCGGUGGUCUUCUUUCACGAGUUGACCGUCGAACUUCAGGAGUUUCAGACUCUAUUUGUUCUUGUUCUUCAUGCUCUGGUGCAGCUUCAGAAGAAGUAUGAUUCUGAGUAUUUUCCAUCUGGACUUCUGUAGUCUCCUUUAAAAUGCUAUUAUUUUCUUCCAUUUGCAUUUUAUCUUCUGCAAAUAUGACAUCUCUGCUGAUGACUACCUUGUGGGCAGUGGGAUCCCACAAGCGAUACCCCUUCACUCCAUCAGCAUAUCCCAAGAAUACACAUUUUCUGGAUUUUGAAUCCAGCUUGCUGACCUCUUGAGUAUUGUACAUCACGUACACAGGACUUCCAAAUAUAUGCAAUCGAGAAUAAUCAGCUGGCUUUCCAGUCCACAUCUCCAUCGGUGUCUUCAACUCAAUUGCAGUUGACGGAGAUCGAUUUAUCACAUAACAGGCGGUAUUGACUGCUUCUGCCCAGAAUGACUUUUCUAGACCUGCAGCCUUCAACAUUGCUCUUGUUCUUUCCAAUAGAGUUCUGUUCAUCCGCUCUGCCACUCCAUUUUGUUGUGGAGUGUAUGCCGUUGUGAACUGCCUUUUGAUACCUUCAUGUUGACAGAAGUUAUCAAAUUCAUCACUGGUAUAUUCUCCUCCAUUGUCAGUCCUCAAACACUUGAUCUUCUUUUCAGAUUCAAGUUCUACCCGCUUUGAAGGUUUUAAAAACUGCGAACACAUCUGCCUUCCUUCUAAUCGGAUACACCCAACAUCUCCUGGAGAAGUCAUCUAUGAAUGAUACAAAGUAUCUUGCUCCUCCCAAGGAUACAACCGGUGCUUGCCAAACAUCAGAGUGAAUCAGGUCUAAGAUGCAUUUGCUCUUAGUUGUUGACGUGCCAAACUUCAACCUGUGUUGUUUACUUGUAACACAGUGCUCACAAAAAGGUAAAGUAACCUUUGUAAGCCCAGGGAGUAACUUCUGAUCAGAGAGAACCUUUAAACCUUUCUCUGACAUGUGGCCUAGUUUUUGAUGCCACAUCAUCGUCUUCUCUUCUGCAGGACUGGCUGAUGCGAUUGAUGCUUCUGCCCCUGAUGUGUUUCUCCCAUUAAUACAAACAUGUUUGCAACUGUCUUUCUUGCCUUUAAAACCACCAGCGCGCCUUUGACAAUUUUCAUGAUUCCAUUGUCUGUUCGGAUCUUACAGCCAAGACUAUCAAAUUGUCCUACGGACAAAAGAUUCUUCUUUAAGUCUUUCACAUGUCGCACUCCUGAAAUAGUACGAAUUAAGCCAUCAUACAUCUUCAAUUUGAUGGUGCCAAUGCCAGAAAUCUCUACAGCAUGAUUAUCACCCAUGAACACUGUGCCUCCAGAGAUAGGUUCAUAUGUAUGGAACCAAUCUCGUCUAGGGGUCAUAUGCCAUGUUGCUCCUGAAUCCAUUAGCCAGACCUCAGUGAGCUCUUCUCUAUCUGUAGAGAUUGUUGCUGCUUCACUAUAUAAAAUCUCCAUCUUCUGAGGUGCUUGCAACACAUCCUUGAGGUUUUGAUGACUCUGCAGUAUUCUCUAUACCCUUUUUAAACCAACAAUCCUUUUUGAAGUGCCCUUUUCUGCCACAGUUGUAGCAUUUCACAACUUCUUACUUCUUGAUUUGGACCUCCCCUGCCUUUGACUCCCACUGAGCCACGUUCCGUUGAUCUUCCUCUUGACACCAACAAUGCCUCAGCUUGGUUUGAACUGUUUCUGUCUCCUUUGUUUUUGCGCCUAUUUUCUUCUUCCAAGAUAGCAGCUGCAACAUCAUCGAAGACUAAAUAGUCUGAGAGGAUAUUAUUGGUCAAGUUGAUAAUGAGCUGAUCAUACGAAUCAGGAAGACUUUGAAGUAGAAGCUCUGCACGUUCAUGUUCCUCUAUUUGUUGACCCAAUAGUGAGUUGUGAAAAUAGAGUUCUUAUUGUGUUGAUGUGGUCAGUCACCGACGUGGUUUCUGCCAUUCGAAGGGUAUAAAGUCUCCGCUUUAAGAAAAUCUUGUGCAAAGACUUGGACUCGUAUAGCUUUGUUAGAGUCUCCCAUAUCUCCUUAGCUGUUUUCUUCUCCGCCACACUUGAUAAUACUUCAUCAGCUAAUGCUAAAUGUAUGUUAGCAAUAGCAUUGCCAUCCAUCUCAUUCCAUUUUGCAUUAUCAGUGAUCUCCGCGGGCCGAUCCCCAAUUGCUGCCAAGCAAUUGUCUUUCCUCAAGAUUGCCUUGAUUCUCAUUUUCCACAGUGAGAAAUUGCUCCCCUUGAACCUCUCAAUCUCGUACUUUGCUGCCAUUGUAUUCACCGAGAUCUAUUCAGCUAUCACCGUUUCACAGAUCUGUAACGUAUAUAGAAAUAGUAUCGUGUGAAUAAUACUUCACUAAGUAAGUUCCCAGGAAAGAUUGGAGGGGUCACAAACGGUCCCGCUUAAAACCCAAUCUCCUUAGACAGAACUUCCUAGACUGUAUUUAAUCACCGCACUGACUUUCUAUAUACGCCAACAGUAACGUAAGUGAACAGUACCGUAUGGAUGAAUAGUACCGUAUAGGUGAAUAGUGACCGUAUACACGAAUAACUUUUGUGUGUUGACAACACCAACCAAGAAGGCUCUGAUACCACUGUUAGGAUACUGGCAUGCAAACCCGACAAGACAAAAGGUAAGGGACAAGAUAAAAUGAGAAGUGAUACACAAGAAUUUACGUGGUUCACCCAAUUAGGCUACGUCCACGGGCAAGUAUAGAAGGAUUUUACUAGUAAUGUGGGAAUUACAACCUCUCUCAGAUAAUAGGAGAACAACUAAGAAUCUCUCUAUUACUAGGAGAAAACACCUCACUUACUCUCUCACAAAUACCUCACAAUUGUGGGAUUACUUUCCCUCUCUCACUCUUCUCUUCCUCUCUUGUUUCUCUCUUGUGGUGUGUUUUCAAUGCUUGGAUGCAUUGCCUAUUUAUAGGCAAGCAUCCAUGCAAGAGCAAGUGGCCAAGUUGGUUAAGGCACCUCCACCCAAGGUAGGCACCUCCACCUAUCUUCACACUUCGUUUAGAUAAAUUUGACAUAAUUAUAUUAAAUAAAAAUGCUUAGAGAUAUAUAGCAUGCUUUACAAUAAGUAACUCAUAAAGAAAAUAAUAAGUAAAAAAAAUCUAAAAUUACAUGUUAAUUCAUCAAUAUGAAUUGUUCAAAAUGUUUAGUGACUUCAUAACUAAAAUGUUUAUUAAAAUGACUAAAAUAAUUAAUAGUUUAUUAGUUUGGAUGUUUUUAGUCAUGCUGAAAUUACAGAGAAUUGAUCAUUAAGUUGAUUUUUAUAUAUGCAUAGAAAUCAGAUCAUUAUAAAUUUAAUAAGCUAUUUAAAGUGUUCCAAUGGAAAGAAAAUAGGUGUUGUGAAUUUGAGUCUGCAUUUUUCUUUACCUUCUUUUUGGUGUUUUUUGUUCGUCCCUUCUUGAAAAUUUAUGCUCAGUUUUUGCCUUUUACCUGCCGCUUAGUUUAGGGUAUUAAAUUUCUUUGUUUCUUCGGAAGAUGCCUUAAUCUUUGUUGAUUGUCUUUCCGUUUUUAGUUGCAUUGUUAGGCUAUAUGUGUGUUUAUUGGGGCUUUGGCUGCCUUUUUUGCUACAGUUAUGAGGUUUCUUGGGCAUAGUCUUUUGGUUAGCUUCAGCCCUCUGUUAUCCAUUCUUUAUAGAGGUGGUGUUGUCUUUGUUUCGCACAAGGUGGCACGUGUCUUGAAAGGAAGUUUACUUGGUUUUCUUUACAUGUGUUUCUUGCAUGCUACUUGUUUGGCAAAAGUCUUCUGAGAGAUCGACCUUGUUUGGCACUAAUCAAUGCAAGAUUGUCGUUGAAACAUAUGAUUUUGACAUGUGAUAGUCUGGUCCAAUUGCUUAACAUGCCUCGUAUUUUCGCACAUGAACCAGCCGGAUACCUUUUUUCUUUAAUGUUCCUAUCACAAAAAAAAAAAAUGAAAAACAAAAAAAUGCUUCACUAAUAAUAUCAGGCUUGACCCUAUAGCUUAUGUUUCAUCACAGCAGAUUAAAUAAGGUUCUAGAUAACAGGAUAUAGGAGUUUACUUGGCCAUUCUAGUUACGAGCUUCAUGGUUAAUUUUCUUGAACCCGAAGAACCUUCCAUUUAUGGCUAUGGCUAUGCUCCAAGAUAUAUAAGUGAAUUAGUUGCAAACCAGGGGAACUCUGUGAAAACAUUACAAUAGCAUUUACUCUUGAGUAAGAAAACUUUUAUGCAUGCACUGUAAUUGACAAAGAAAAGAAGAGAAAUCCCUUUAAUUUAUGAAAAUGCAACGAGCUAGUUAACCUUAUCUCACUCUGCAAUAUAUAUCAGUGCUCAUUGGCUACUGCAAGUGCCACAGUAGCUGUAUAUGAUUUUGGAUGUAGAGAGGUCAACAAAACAUUCAACUUUAUACUGAGAAACUAGGAAACCAUACACUAUAUAUUGUGGCUAAUUGAUUUUUGUCUAAUGCUUUUGUACUUUUAAGAUCACUAUCACCUCAACCCUGUACAAGUUAAAACAAAUAGAAGGCCCCAAAUCCAACACCAUUCAUUUAAGUUCAGUUGCAACUCAAGUUUCAAAUUGAAACACCAGUGCUCAUAGCAAUAGAUUAACCUUGAAAUUUAAAGCGGAACAAGCUUCAUGCAGCCAUCCAAGAGGUCAUCAUCGAAAGAAGAUGUUACACAAGAAGUUUCAACAAAAAUUACUUCCCAGCACUUUUUAUUCCCUCGAGUUCCCAUCUUGUGAGAAACACGUGAAAAAUAAAAAAGACAAAAACGAAAGAAGAUGACAUCCUGUCAUUGCUACCAAAUCCUCACCAGCUGCAGAACCAGCAAUUCUGUCAAUCAUACUGACAACGGAGCCAAUGUCACCGACAGAUGCACUAAGUGCUAUGGGAGACAGAUUUCACCUGGGAAAAAAAAUUACAGCAUCACCAUCUCAUUCACAAAGAAGUUUCUUUCUUUUUCAGAAACCUCCAAAAUAAGGGUGGGGUGGAGUAAAACCAAAAGGAGAGCAUCACUAACCGCUUCAAUCAAGUACUCAAGCGGUUGCUCUGUAACAUUUGACUUUGCCAGAAACAGUUGUCAAAGCACCGCCAUGAGCACCAUCAUAUUGGACUGCCAAUUGGUAAAGUCUGCAAGCAAAGGUGAUGCAGGUAUCCCAGGAGUGCCAAUUGCAAGGGAGGGAGCCGCAACAGAUGGUUGGUGUAAAAUCAUAUUGGAAUUCGACUGAAGGGGAAUAUUUGGCUGCAGCAUACUCGCCCCACUUUGUGUUGACAAUGUGUUAACAUUGAUUGGUUGGGAAAUGCUCACGAGAUUCUGUUGGGCAGAUCCUACAGGUGUCUGCUGCAAUGAGCUCAGUGCAUUUCCUUGUCCAGAAUCUAAAUUGAGCCUGGUGUAUUGGAUUCAUCAUGUGAUUGUGACGUCGAAUCCCCAGAUAAAGUUGAAAGAGAAUUAUUCAGCAAGCUUGACAUAUUGUUCUGCUGCAUCUUGGUACAGAACCUUGCAUAUUCAUUGAUUGCAACUGGGGAUUCAGUUGAUUUUCAUGGGACUGCAAUUGAGGAACUUGAGAUUGGGGGUGCUGCAUAGGUUGAAUAUGAGGUUGGGGAAGUUGUCCUUGCUGUAGAUUAGGAGUAGGCGUCCUGUAUCUGCUUGGGUUUAGAAAACCUACAAUCUGCUUCUCAUAGAAACCCAAUUUCUCCUUGAAAGUAGGUGUGAUGUUGUUUUU
rnacentral:lncRNA from 1 species